rnacentral:lncRNA from 1 species
UUAAAGGACCUAACCUAAUUCCUAAAAGAAAAUGGCAGAAUCCCUCAAGAAAACGGGAACCAUCUCUUUCUAUUUAAAAACUAGACCAUCGGCCACUUUUAAUCUCCUAAGAACAAGAGGCGCAUCAACUGGAGAGAAAGCAGAAAUCUUCCUUGUUCUUCAGCAACAAAAAUACUAUUUUCCACCAUUAAAGAAGCCUUCUUACUCAACUGAAAACCAAUAGCUUUUCUCCAUGGAAGAUGCCUCAAACUCCAACUCCAAAAUACCCCAAACUUCAGCUACAAAACUCCAUUAAACUCCCACAAAAAUUAGCGAAAAGCAACCUCCAAAAACACUUCUAGUUCCAGCACCAAAACUCCAUUGUUUCUCCCUUAUUUCAGCUCCAAAACCCACCUGAAAUAGCUCCCAAAAACCAGCCAAGAAUAACUUCAAAAGCUGCUGAAAAAUAGCAUCAAAUUUAGCUGAAAAACCUCCCAAAAUCAGCUCUAAAAGCGACAAAAACGCAGCUGAAGAAUAGCUUCAACACAGUCCAAAUUUCAACCCAAACAGCCCCCUAAAAGAGUUUCGGAAAUGCAACAAAGUCCCGAUUCCAUUUCCUCAUGUUGUACGGGGGUUCGGUCGAGCUCUAAUCAUGGGUUUCGAUUGAAGUUGCCGGCAAAUAUUCUGGUUAAAAUCGACAAACUACUGUAAUUCGAGUUUAGAUCUAUCAAUACAAAGGUCCACUUUUUUCUUGUCUACUAUUUCAAUUGUGAUUAUAUUUCAUGCCUAGUUUUUGUGAAUGCUUUUCAUGCCUUGUAUGUGUUUGUUCUUAAUACUGCUCUUAAUUGAUAAUUGGUCCUUUCCUGAGUUGGAGUCUAUUUAAGAGCAAAUAGCCAAAUGGUUGUGAUAGGCCAAAGGAGAGAAACCUUUAAGUGGGGUCACAAGUGUUUGAGCUCAUAAAUUAAGAGGAAAUGGAUCAUUUAGUGAUAUUGUGUUUCUUUGUUUAAUUUUGUCUUACAUUGUAUUAGUCUUCUGGUAGGGCAUGCUCAAUAAAAUAUAGAUGGAUACUAAUUAUUGUGAUGUGGAGUUAGUUUAACAAUUAAAAAAUAGAGUUUGGGUGAUUGAUUUGGCUUGAAACAAGUUAGUUGACAUUUGUUCCUUAAUAGUAGUUUGUUUCGCCAAAACAAUUACAAAUAACUAAAUCACAGUGCGAUUUCCAAUCAUUACAUAUCCAUAACUCAUGGCUCACAGUUGAAACCAUAAUUACGACAAAGAAUUAAUAUUCGUAGUUUGCUUUAAACACGGUUAAUAAAUUAUCGUAACUAUGGGUACGGUUCCCGUGACAUAGUCAUCAUACAUAAUCCCCAAUUCGAGUGUGCGUUUCACGUGGCUCGACUGUUGAUACCCAAUUUUUUCCUCAUAUAUUUCUAAAAUAUGCACAAACACUUUUAAAAUAUUCUAUAUGCAUUUUCAAAUAUGCACAAGUAUUUUUACAAUUUUUCUAUAAUUUUUAAAGGCCUUAAAUCCAUUUAUUUCUACAUUUUUAAUUACAUAAAUGUUCAAAACUAUCCCUUAUAUUAUUUUAUAAUAAUUUAAUCAUCUAAAUUCAUCAUUUACGUUCAUAUGAGUGUUCAAAUAUUUUAAUUGCAUUUUUUAUAAUUACAUUUGCAUGUUUAAGACUAUAAUUGCUUAUUUUGCAAAUAUAGCCCCCGCAUAGGCAUAAUUGCAUUAUCUAUACAAAAAUUGACUCUUUAUAUUUUUAUAAUAUUGAAUAAUUAUUUUAAAUCAUCUUCAUGCUUGAAAAAUAUUUUUUAUCAUUUUAUUAGCUAUUUUUAAAAUUAUUUUAAUUAGUAAAAUGGGUAUUUAAAUAAGAACCCCUAAUUUACACCCAAAAUCGGACCCCCACCCCAAUUUAUUAAACCCAAGCCCAAUUCAAAUCAGACCCAACCCAAUCAAACUUUAAUCGUGGCCGUUGAUCUUUUAGAUCAACGGUCCACAAUUAAACUUACCAUAUUAAUCCCAAACCACCCCCUAAACCCCUUCAUUUCUUUCAUUUCUACCGCCCUUCGUUCCCUUAUCUCUCAGCUCUCUCUCAUCCUAACCCUAAAACCUAGCCGCCGUCACCUGUAAAACUCCCCAUCUAUGGGGUUUCUCUGUAUUAUGGUUGUUCGACUUUGUUGGUCUAUGAGAGAAUCUCAAAGAGAUUCAACCUGGUUUUACUCGGAACUUUUUAACAAGUCUGUCUAUGGCCAUUUUCGUUUGUAAGUGCUGUUUUCUUCCUAUUUUUGGUUUGAACCUAUGGGUUUAGACUGAUUUCCUUUCGUCUCUGUCAUUUCCAAAUAAUCCUAGUCUUAUGACUACUUGGGUCUGUUCAGAUCCCUGUAGAUCAGAAACGUUCUGAGUAUUAUUUGGUAUUUUUCUACGAAAAAACUUUCUGUUUCUCAUAUCAAUAUUUGAUUUCAGUGAUUUCUAAGAACUAGGUUUCAUCCUAAGUUCUCUUCAAACGAUUUUCAAACUUCCAAGUGUUGAAUCUCACUAUUCUUUACUAGUUUGAUUCAUUUUGGUAUAUAUGCUUAAACCCUAGGUCUUUUUGUUUCCGGCACUAGUUAUUUUAGUGAUUUUUCCCUUAUUUGUUUAUUUCUGUCAAUCUAAUAUACUGAUUGAUUUUUAUUUGGGAUUCAAAUCAUAUUUUCCUGUUAAUAUCAGUAUCUCUCUGUGAUUUUUACCUAUUCCCUUAUUUGUGGCUUUAAUUAGUAAUACUUGCCUUAUUCGAAACUAACAGUCUGACUUAGGGAUUUGAUUGAUUCCUACAUGGUAUGAGAAUAAUUUCUUGCCUUAUUUGAGCCCUAGUUUUGUACCAUUAAUUGACUCUCCUCAUUCUAAGGGGUCUCUUGCAGAUUCUUCUAUAUGAAUUGACUUGCUAAUUGGCUGAUUGAUUUAUUUGAUUGCCCUUAUUUUAUGAACUAUGAUUCACUCUUUACCUUAUUUGUUUUUACCUCACUAAGUGCUAUAUAUACUCUCAUUCUGAUUCUUCUAAGGGCACGAACAAUAGUUCACAAACACACUCACACACAAACUCUGCUCUCAUCUCUCUCUGCUACUUGUGUUGAUUGUUUAUCUAGUCAGUUGAAAGCCAGGACUAGACUGUUGAAUCCUGUUGCUUUACUUUAUGCUUCUGCUUUAUUCACCGGUAUGCUCUCACUUUACUAUCCUGCAAACCUUUUUAUGAUUUGAUAUGUGUAUUUCCUAUUCCUAGCAUGUCCAUUUUAUGUUACUAAAUCAGUAGGAUCUUUAUAGUCAGCCUGUUUAUCUUUAACUAGACUAUGUGAUUCAUGCUCAUUAUCCUUAGUCAGUAUGUGUACUGCCAUUCAGUUAGACUACAUGUUUCCUGCUAUUCAACUUAACCUAAAUGCUUCCUGAUAAUAACAUGCCUACUUCUGUCUUAACCGAGCCUAUGUGUCUACUGUAAUAACAUGUUUACUUCUAUGUUGAUUGCAAUAACAUGUCUACUUCUAUUUGAUAGAACCCAUGCGUGUCCUGCUCUCAAUAUGUUUAUUCUUGCUUUAGUUAGACUUCUGUGUUUCCAGACUCAUGCUCAUUUCUUCCUUACUAGUAUAUCCUUUCUAACGUAUGUUCACCUCUGAUCAAUAUGACUUCCCAGCCCUACUACCCCUCUGUAUGCGACUGAAUGCUCACCUAGUGAUAGUUAAUUAACUAAGUUGAAACUCUAAGUUACCCUGUUUCUAUAUACUAUUUGACUGCUGGGACCUUUGUUUGAGUUACAAUGAUUGAAUGACCCUGUUUGCUCCUUAUGUCCUGAGAAUCCGAAACUAUUUUCUUAAAAACUACCUCUUGUUUAAAACUCCUCUUCUUAGAAUAUCUAGGGUCUUUCCCCUCUAGUGUAAGCAUUGCUUAGGAGUCCAUGAGACUCCUCUGAACUUUGACAAACUAGAGUUGGCUUUCCAAAACUUUCUCACAAAGGGUUACUUUCAAAGUUUCCUGGUGUGAGCAUUGCCCGGGGUCCCUGAGGUCCUUGGGAACUUUGACACACCAGGAUACUAUUGGAUGCACUAUGAGGUUAUGGCAUUUUUGUACUAGUUGAAGGCCUGGUCUGCCAGGUUUAUCCUCUGGGCCUAUAUUUAGGCUCCCUAUAGUUGUAGCAAUUUCACUUAUAUAAUUCAUUAUUAAUGUUGGUGUGUAAUAAUAAUUCUUGAAAACAGAUAUUGGGGAAAUUAGUAAAAGGGAGAGAUUCUUAUACAUAUCCUGUUGGGAAAGGGUUGAUACCAUGCCUAUAGGUUGUCACAAUAUUUGUUCAUUUAAAUACCAUGCCUAUAGGUUGUUACAAUAUUUGUUCAUUUAGAUACCAUGCCUAUAAGUUGUUACAAUGUUUGCUUAUUUAGACAUCAUACCUAUAGGGUUCAAAAAUCGAUCCUACAUUCUAGAUAAUAUGUCUGUAAGUUUGCUGCGAUGCUUGCUUAGAUACCGUGCCUAUAGGUUGUUACAAUAUUGUUUAUUUAGAUACCAUGCCUAUAGGGGGUUUUAAAAUUAACCCGUCCUGCCUAUAAGUUUGAAAAGAUCAAUUUCUGCAUAUUAACAAGGUUUAAAUCAGUCUUCUGCAUAUUUUAAAACUAAUUGCUGCAUUUAGAUGCCAUGCCUAUAAGAUUUUAAAACCAAUUUCUACAUUUAGUUGCCAGUAUCUAUAAGUCUAAAAUCAGUUAUCACACCUAGAUAACAUUUAUAUAGGACUUAAUAAACUCAAACCGUUUUAAACUGAUUCCUAGAAUUCUGAUUGUAUUUAGACAGCAUGUUUAUAGGGUAUUACACAUCUACGCCUAGGCAAGCCUUUAGGUAAUCAAGGUCUAAUAAAAUUGUGGAACUAUGCUUUUCUUACUUGUGACUGCCCAGAUUCAAUAGGUUCUAAAAUAUCAGUAGGCAAACUGAUUAGGUCUCUAUCACUUCGCCUUAACACAAUACUGCAUAUUCUCUACUUGCCAUGCUCACCUAGAUAUCAUGUUCUAGGACCUUUAUGAAAUAUCUGAAAUUUAUUGUUUGAGACGUGCACUUACAUGCUCUAUUUGUGGAGGUAAAAUGUGAGCCUUUUAACUGUUCUAUCCUUGGUCCAGUCCUACGUGUUUUUUUUGUCGCCUAAAGUUUUCUCCUUUUAAUUACUGUAUGAGCGUCUAGAUCCACCUUAACUAGAAGUCCUAAAUACCUCCGGGACUAUAUAAGUAAAGGGACGGGUAACACACACAUAGGAUACAUCUUAAGGUUGCUAGAACGCUUAGUCUAUCACCAAGUGGGGGGUAAUUGGGUAGUAAAGGAUAUGAUGACAUGUGCGCUAAUACCAUACGUAACCCCUCUAGUUGAGGAAGGCUUACCGGGUAUUGUACAGAUGUGAUCCUAUAGGCCAACAAACCUAGGACUUCCCUCAUCUUAUUUACAAAUGUAUGCUUAGACUGCUUAUCUGUCAAAUUUUCUUAUAUAUGUGCUUAGACUGCCUAUUUAUUAAAUGACUAAUUCACAUAAUUUGAGUUCGGCCGGGAUCUACCAUUGUGGACUGCGAGGGGUGCCUAACACCUACCCCUCAAGGUUAUUUUGAGCCUUUACCCAAGUCUCUGGUAAUGCAAACCGGUUUCAUGAGUUAUUUGCUUUAGGUGGCCUAACGCACCUUAAAUCUGUUUGGUGGCGUCUCUUCAAAUUCAAAUACCCAAUUUCCAAAAGAAAAUGAGUUGUUCCCAAUGAAUGUUGAAACCUGAACUUCGCGAGGAAAAAGGGGGCGCAACAGCAUGGCGACUCUACUGGGGAUAUUUUAGGCUCUUGCCAUAAUGAACUUGUUUUUAUGAAUUAGUCUUAAGCAUGUUUAUUUCUUUCAACACAUGUGCACCCUUUCCCUUUCCCCCCUUUACUUGGAUUUAAUUGCUUAUUUUAAGCAUUUAUGAUUUCCUUUAUUUCCUGAAACUGACUUGUUUCCUUGUUUUCCUUUUGUAACUAUCUUUCAAUUAUUUAAAUACCGCACUUAUCAUUUUAACGUGCAAAUACUUGACAACAUGCUAUUUACUGUUGCAUAAAUCAUGCUCAACAUCAUAUUCCACUCGUGCAUAAUCAAUCUUAUAGCAACAUUUGAUGAGUAUUUGCGCUCUUCCUAUAUAUCACCUUUUAAAUUUAGAAAGGCGUAUUUGCGGUAAAACUAGUCGAUCAUCGGUGCGUUCGAUGGUUUCGUGCCUUUCCACCCUCAAGUUGUCCGCUUGAGGUUUCCAGUCUAGACCUCUAUAGCAACCUUACUCUGAUCAGUUGUGCAUGCAUCAUGGUCAAACCUAGCUGGGUUAAUAUGUUGUCCUCAUAAUAACCCUUUAAGACAAGCCGCACCCAAAAGUCCAUCGGGUUUUCUAUAAUCCCAACGGAUGCAACCACGACUGUGUGCAUUAAUUUUAGAGAAAUAAGUGCCAAUGUGCUAAUCAUUGUUGUAUAAAUAGAAGAACCUAGAGGGGGAAAGGGCCUAACCUAUACUUUGUUUUGCAGAAAAUGAGGCACGAAGUCCCCAAGUUCGGGUAUGGUCGAUAGUAUACCUUCACUUCUGCUAGAUUGGUGGAGGGAUCUUCCUUCAAGUGAUCAAAAUCAUGUGAAACGAGUCUUAGAAAAUUUGCCUUCUCUGUUGGAUUUUCAGCCAAACAAAAUGCUGAUCGAGGCUGCCACCAUGUUUUGGGACAAAGAAAGGGCCUUAUUCCGCUUUGGAGACAUAAAAAUGACCCCCCCCCCCUCUUGGAAGAAAUAGGGGGAUUUGCUGGGCUACCUUGGGAUAGCCCUGGUUUAUUAGCACUAGAAAAUCGCACCACUAGGGGAUUUCUGAAGAUGAUGGGGUUAAAAAGGAAUGAUGACUUGGUGUGCUUGAAGAACUCCUACAUACCUCUAGACUUCCUUUGUGAACGAUACGGUCACAGCAGCUCUUACUGUAUUUUUGAUGAUGAAUUCUCCAUCACCUCCUUGGGUUGGGUUCAUCGCAGGGUCUUUGUAUUCAUUGUGUGUUUCUUGGGCAUGUUGGUGUUCCUGAUCCAAGGGGACAAAAUCAAUACCAGGCUAUCCAUGGUGACCAAAAUUUUGAUGGACAGAAUCGAGGGGCAGACAUAUACCAUUGUCCCUAUGAUCAUUGCAGAUAUGUACCAGGCCUUGGAACGCUGUCAGAAGGGGUUCAGAUUCUUCGAGGGUUGUAAUUUGCUGAUGCAAGUUUGGUUGCUAGAACAUCUCCAAAAGGGUCAAUACCGUCAAGAAUUUCCACGAAGGCCGUGGAAUGAUCACAUAGCAUUUUAUCAUCCCAAGAGAAUGACCUAUAUUCUAGACAUGUUUGCCCAACUUAAGGAUGUUGUAGGAUGGGUGCAGUCUUUCAACAAGUUAACUGAGGACCAGGUUCAACGGAUGUUUAAGUGGUUCCUACUGACGAGUUCAUCAUCAGCUCCAGGGAUGUCCCUCACUUGGUACUAAUUGGGUUAAGAGGAAUAUACCCUUAUGCUCCCUUCAAGGUUAUGAGACUGGCAGGCAGGAGACAAGUCAUACGGCAAGUCAUUAAAAUGAGUCACUUCAUAGCUGAUUUUCAGGGUGAAGCCAUCCCAUAUAAGAAUGAAGCAUAACACAUGUGGAACUUGAAGAUUAUCAUGGAAAAGGAUACCAUCGAGCGGAACCGAUAUCAUGCGAGUCGCACAUACUUCUACCCCUCAUGGUUGGAUGAUAAUAUAGCAGGAAUCUUCGAGCCAUGGGUUGGUCCAGGAAACAGGGUCAUAGACGAGGUUGCCGAAGCACAGGUGAAGCAUAACAAGUUGCGCAAAAGAAUUCGUGAGUCCGAAGCUGAGCAUAUGGAGCAGCAUAAGGCCGACAUGGUAAUGAUCAAUGAGUGGAAAUAGAGAGCUAUUAAAUCCAGUGAGAGGCUGGAAUAUUUGGAGUACAGUCUAAUGGAAUUAGAAGGAAAAAUGAGAAAGAAAGUCAUCGAUUGCCAGAACGCUGAGAGAAACAAAGGAGGACAUUUGGCAAGGGCAUUCUUACUGCUGAACUUGUGCGAACUGGAGGACUGAUCGACAAAAUUGGAGAGGGUCCUUCUGGGAUGAAGUAGAUUAGGUUUACUUGUUUUUUUAAAUGUAAUAAGGCCAGGUGCCAUUAGUAACAUUAUCUUAUCUAGUGUCGUUUUGGGGUCGUCUAUUUUUACAUUAAUGAAAUGAGGAAAUUAUUGGCACUGAAUUUCUCCAAAUAUAUUUGUCACUAGACCUACCUCGGGCAUGACGAGGCUCCCAAUUUAGGAUGCAAAUUUAUAUUCCUGCAAUAUGUGUUUAAAUACCGCAAACUUUUCAAAAACUUUACUGAGUUGUUUACCUUUUGUUUUUAUUUAUUCUUUAUUAUUCCCAUCCCCUAAGGUUGGUUCGCACAUACUGACAUCAUCAACAUAUCACACCAGAUCUAAAGGCCCUCUACCUCAUCCUCCUCUAUGUAAUACAAGAAGUAGAGGGAAAGCUAAGAUGGAUGACUUAACUAGUAUUCGAAAGGAAAAUGCGGAGAAUGCAGAAAAUUCAGAUGGUCGGAGUACUCCGGCACCAAACGACUUGGUUUUGCGGUUGAAAAAAAAGAUAGUGGAGUUAUAGGGGGAACUUGAGCGGGUCCGCAUCUUAGCAAACCUAUCCCUCACCCUAAACAUCCCCCAUAUCAACCAGCAAAAUACCAAAAAGGUGAAAGAAUCCGAUGAAGCUCUUCAUGAGAAGUCUUACUGGAGAUGUCAUGUCUUGGUACAGAAUUUAUGGACCAGUUCAGGUUCAACACGGAGAAUGCACUAGAUGUCUUCUACAUCCAGAAUUUAAAGAAGAAGCCAACUGAGACCUUUCGUGAGUAUGCUACUCGGUGGAGGUCAGAAGCAACCAAGGUCAGACCAACACUAGAAGAAGAACAAAUGAACAAGUUCUUUGUCAGGGCACAUGACCCACAGUAUUAUGAAAGGCUAGUGGACAUUGAGAAUCACAAAUUCUCCGAUAUCAUCAAACUCGAAGAAAGGAUUAAAGAAGGUAUAAAAAACGGGAUAGUGACAAAUUUCGAGUCACUACAUCACAUAAACAAAGCAUUGCAAUUAGGCGGCAUAUCAAAGAAAAAAGACGUGGUGGCAGUAAUGGUGGCUCAAAGUCCAAAAUCUCCACCUACAUACCAAACACCUCCACCUACACAUCAACCCUCAUCUCCCAGAUAUUCUCAACCCGCCAUCACCUAUCAUAAUUAUAACACCCAGCCAGCCUACUAUCACUCACCUCCAACUUGUCCAAAUUACCAGAAACCUUGACCUAACUUUGAUCGUAAACCACCCAGACAAUACACCAGUAUUGCUAAACCCAUCGACCAGUUGUAUGAAAGGUUGAAGGCCGCUGGUUAUAUCACUCAUAUUCCUGCUGUGGCAGUGGAUAACUCAUCUUAAUGGGUCAACCCAAACAAAACAUGUGCAUAUUAUUCUGGUAUGAAAGGGCACACCAUUGACGAGUGCCGAACAUUGAAAGAUAAAAUCCAGACAUUGAUUGACAAUAAGGUCAUACAGGCAAAAGAAGCUACGCCCAACGUCUGCAACAAUCCUCUCCUAGAUUAUAGGGGUGAUGGGGUACAUGUGAUAGAGACGGAUGAGGAAUGGGAUCCUGAGAGGUCAAUCGGGCUUAUUCGGGAAGGCGACGACUUUAAAUUUGCAGUCACACUCACUCCUAUCAUAGUGCAGACACAGUCGCCAGUCGAAGUUGAGGUAGCCACAUCGGUUCAUUUGAGGUAGAGAUAGCUCCGCAUACAACCACACUUGCUCCAUUUGAGGUAGAAGUGGCCACACAUUUCAUAGUAACAGUAUCAACCUCACCUCCUUUAAAUUCCAAAGCCAUACCUUGGUAUUACGUUGCCGAAGCUAGGCAAAAGGGAAAAGCAAAGAUGGAAGAAUCUGAUGCUACACAAGGAAUGACCAGAACAGGAAAGGUUUAUACACCUGACCACUUGGGAGGGUCAAGCAAGGAGGUUGCUACUAAGCAACCUGUCAUUGAAACUUGACCGGAUGAUCUUUCGAGGAAAGUACAGGCGAGGGAAUACUCUGUUGUAGAUCAUUUGAACAAAACCCCGCCCAGAUAUCCAUCUGAUCAUUAUUGCAAAACUCAAAAGUGCACAAGAAUGCUUUUAUGAAGGUGUUGAAUGAAGCUUAUGUGCCUAGCAACAUCACCUGCGGAGAAAUGGCCAAUAUGGUAGGGCAGGUUCUGGAAAGUCAUAAGAUUAAAUUCCACGAUGAUGAAUUACCGCCCGAAGGUUUAAGUCACAAUUGGGCAUUGCACAUCACGAUGUAGUUGAAGAUAAGUUCGUUGCCAGGGUCCUGAUAGAUGGAGGUUCAAUCCUCAAAAUUUUCCCAUUGUCUACUUUGAAAAGAUUGGGCAAAGAUUUUCAUGAGAUACGGGCAGGAAGUAUGAACGUGAAAGCCUUUGAUGGGUCUCAAAAGGCCAUGAUUGGGGAGAUUAAUCUUUGUCUGCAAAUGGAGCGAACUUGGUUCGAUACUGAAUUCCAAGUGCUUGACAUAUUAGCUACAUACAAUCUUCUGUUGGGUCGACCUUGGAUAUAUGCAACUGGGGUUGUGGCUUCCACACUACACCAAGUCGUGAAGUUUGAAUGGAACCAUCAGGAGGUGAUCAUUCACGAAGAUGGGAGUAACCCCAUUUACACCAGUCAAACCAUCCCGGUUAUUGGGAACAGAAGAAGGCUAGGAGGGGAAACUUAUCACCACAUCAAACAUGUCAAUGCCAUUGAGAAAGACAAAUAGUGGAGUAAUAAAAUAGAAAGCAUACUAGCAUGGUUUGGGUAUGAACCCGGGAAAGGGAUUGGGAAGAAUCUCCAGUGCAUUACCAAACCUAUACAGCUAAAACAUCAUGGUACAACCUUCAGGCUCGAAUACCAGUAUACAUGGAAAGAGUAUGAUGAUUGGUCGCCUCCAUGGUGUGGUCCUUAUUACCCUCUCGAGCAACCAGUGCCAUAUUUGGGUCAGACUUUUCACCAAGCUGAUACAAUAUGGGGAACGACAGAGGAAGAAGCUUUAGCUGGGCUGAGGAAUUUGUUAUUAGAGGACGAUGAUAUAGAUUUCAGUGCGAUAAUUGAGGAGAAGGAAGAAGAAGGCCUCACCAUUCAGACCGUGGAGAAAGGAGCCGUUCUCAGAAAUUAGAUUGCCACACCAUCCCCAGCCCACCGAGUUCCUGGGUAGCUUGGCAAUUAGCCUGAUUUGUUUCUAUAGCCAUGCUAGGCAUUUAAGAUAUUUUUAAUAAUUUUGUUUUAAAGACUCACUUGUUUCAAAAUAAUUGCUCAAUUCAUUGAGCCGUACUUGUUUUGUAUGUUUUCAAUUUCUAAUCAAUGCAUUGCUAUUUAUUAUUCAUUAUUAUCUUUCACACUUUUCUUUCUACAAUGGUAUUAUUACUUUUUCUGAUGAACCGAUGACUAUGACAUGUAAUGUGACAAUGCAACAUAAGGAUAAUGACUUGGAGGAAGAAGAUGAAAUACCUGAGGAAAUUGUCCGAGAGGUGGAGAACUUUGAGAAUAAGCCUAAGUCCAACCUGGAAGAAACCGAAGCAGUAAAUUUGGGAGAUGCCGAAACCGUCAAGGAGACUCGCAUAAGCAUUCACUUAUCACCGACAAAUAAGGAGGACUACAUUCGUUUCUUAAGGGAAUACGAGGAUAUAUUUGCAUGGUCAUAUGAUGACAUGACCGGUCUGAGCACAUACAUAGUGGCUCACAAGUUGCCUACCAAUCCAAUAUGUCCGCCAGCGAAGCAAAAACUCAGAAAAUUCAAACCAGAAAUGAGCCUGAAAAUCAAGGAGGAGGUCACUAAGCAGAUCAAGGCCAAAAUUCUCAGGGUAGUUGAGUACCCAACUUGGUUAGCCAACAUUGUACCAGUUUCGAAGAAAAAUAGGAAAGUGAGAGCAUGUGUUGACUAUCGAGAUUUAAACAGAGCAAGUCCCAAGGACGACUUUCCACUGCCAAACAUACAUAUCUUGAUCGACAAUUGCACCAAGCAUGAUCUCCAAUCCUUUGUAGAUUGCUUCGCGGGUUAUCACCAAAUCUGGAUGGAUGAAGAAGACGCAGUGAAAAUAGCUUUCAUUACACUGUAGGGGGUGUACUGCUAUAAGAUGAUGCCAUUUGGUCUAAAGAAUGCUGGGGAUGCUUACAUGAGAGCUAUGGCAACCAUUUGAGAAAGUUCUUUGACAGGCUAAGGAGGUACAACUUAAAACUGAAUCACACAAAAUGUGCAUUCAGGGUUCCCGCAAGAAAACAGUUAGGAUUCAUUGUCAGCCGUCGAGGGAUCGAGUUGGACCUGUCCAAAGUUAAGGCUAUUCAAGAGUUACCGCCACCAAAUAGCAAGAAGGACGUGAUGAACUUUAUGGGACGUCUCAACUAUAUUAGUCACUUCAUAGCACAGUCCACAGUUAUAUGUGAACCCAUUUUCAAGAUGUUGAGGAAAGAUGCUUAAACGAGUUGUACCGAAGAUUGUCAAAAGGCUUUUGAUAGAAUCAAGGAAUACCUGUCCACACCACCAGUCCUAGUCCCGCCAGAACCUGAAAGACCUUUGCUACUCUAUCUAUCUGUAUUAGAUGGAGCUUUAAGAUGUGUUUUGGGACAAAAUGAUGAGACAAAGAGAAAGGAGCAAGCCAUAUACUAUUUGAGUAAGAAGUUCACACCUUAUGAAGCACGAUACUCUCUGCUGGAGCGCACUUGUUGUUCUUUGACCUGCACAGGUCAGAAAUUGUGGCAUUACUUCUGUGCCUAUACCACAUACCUCAUAUCUAGGAUGGACCCUCUGAAGCACAUCUUUUAGAAGCCCAUGCCGACAGGAAAAUUAGCCAAGUGGCAGAUACUGUUAAGUGAGUUCGACAUCAUCUAUGUAACUCAGAAGUCGGUCAAGGGACAAGCAUUAGCAGACCAUCUUGCUGAAAAUCCUAUAGGAGGGGGAUACGAACCCUUGAAAACGUAUUUUCCUGAUGAAGAAGUAUAAUUCGUAGGAGAGGACAUUGCUGAGGCUUACGAUGGUUGGAGAAUGUUCUUUGAUGGAGAUGAAAACUUCAAAUGAGUGGGCAUUGGAGAGGUUUUGGUAUCAGAAAUAGGUCAACACUACCCUGUAUCCGUGAAGCUUAGGUUUCCAUGCACCAACAACAUGGCGAAAUAUGAUGUUUGCAUAAUGGGGUUCAAUCUGGCCAUCGAUAUGAAUAUACAAGAGUUACUGGUGAUUGCAGAUUCGGAUCUUCUAGUACAUCAGGUUCAAGGAGAAUGGGCUACGAAGAACACCAAGAUACUACCAUACUUGUAUCAUGUGUAGGAAUUGAUGAAAAGAUUCACAAAGAUAGAGUUCAAACAUGUGCCCAGAAUUCAAAAUGAGUUCACAGAUGCACUGGCCACUUUGGCAUCAAUGAUACAACAUCCAAACAAGAACUUCAUUGAUCCCGUCCCGGUGAGAAUCCAUAAUAAACCGGCUUAUUGUUCUCAUGUUGAAGAGGAAAUAGAUGGAAAGCCUUGGUUCCAUGACAUCAAGGAAUAUUUGGCGAAUAGAGAAUACCCGGAACAGGCGAACCAUACUCGGAAGUGCACACUGCGGAGGCUGUGCAAUUACUUCUUCCAAAGUGGAGAGACCCUGUAUAGAAAACCCCCUGAUCUAGGGUUGUUAAGGUGAAUUGACGCAAAUGAGGCUUCCAGAUUGCUCAAAGAAAUAUAAGCCAGAACUUGUGGAUCACACAUGAAUGGUUUUGUUCUAGCCAAGAAAAUACUCAGAGCUGGAUAUUUUUGGAUGACCAUGGAGACGGAUUGCAUUCGAUAUGUACAGAAAGGCCACCAAUGUUAGGUAUAUGCAGACAUGGUAAGGGUACCACUAAAUGAACUCAAUGCAAUACGUGCACCUUGGCCUUUUGCUGCCUGAGGAAUAGAUGUCAUCGGUUUGAUUGAGCCCACUGCUUCAAACAGGCACAGGUUCAUUUUAGCGGCCAUUGACUACUUCACAAAAUGGGUAGAGGCUGAAUCCUAUAAAGCCGUAACCAAGAAAGUCAUCGCUGACUUUGUCAAGGAUCGUAUUGUUUGCCGAUUCGGAGUUCCUGAUUCCAUUAUCACUGAUAAUGCCGCUAAUUUCAAUAGUGACUUGAUGAAAGCCAUGUACGAAACCUUCAAAAUCAAGCACAAAAACUCUACAACAUAUAGACCUCAAAUGAAUGGAGCCGUGGAAGUUGCCAACAAGAACAUUAAGAAGAUACUAAGGAAGAUGAUAAAAAAUCACAAACAAUGGCAUGAGAAGUUACCCUUUUCUCUAUUGGGGUAGCAUACUACAGUCCGCACAUCAACUGGAGCAACUCCCAAUUUAUUGGUUUAUGGUACUGAAGCUGUCAUUCCAGUCGAGGUAGAAAUCCCUUCUUUAAGAAUCAUAUAGGAAGCCGAACUCAGCGACACAUAAUGGAUAAGGAACAUAGACGGAAAAAUAAUAAACGCAGUAUGUCACAACCAACUUUCUCACAAUACAAUAUCCAGAGCUUUCAACAAAAGGGUUAAACCAAGACAGUUUUCACCCACCCCUCAAGGUAGGUGCCUAACACCUACCCCUCAAGGUUAAACUACUUCACAUAAUUUGAGUUCAGCCGGGAUCUACCAUUGUGGAUCGCGAGGGGUGCCUAACACCUACCCCUCAAAGUUAUUUAGAGCCCUUACCCAAGUCUCUGGUAAUGCAAACCGGUUUCAUGAGUUAUUUGCUUCAGGUGGCCUAACGCACCUUAAAUUUGUUUGAUGGCGUCUCUUCAAAUUCAAAUACCCAAUUUUCGAAAGAAAAUGAGUUGUUCCCAACAAAUGUCGAAACCCGAACUCCGCGAGGAAAAAGGGGGUGCAACAUCAACCAUAACUUCAAAUCAAUAAAUAAUAAAAUAAACAUGUUGUAAAUCGUGGGUAUAUUUCACGUGAUCGAUUCACAAUAUGUACAAAAACAAUAAGUGCGAUAUCGCGACUUAUUUAAAUAAAUUUCAUAAAUACUAAAAUGGUUAAUUGAUUAAUUAAAAGCGGUUGGAAGGUAAAAAGCAUAAUAGGUUUAAAACAUGUAAUAAAUCAGAUAAUUAUGCCAAUUAUUAAUAGUUGAGUGACCGUGCUAAAACCAUGAAAUUUGGGAGUGCCUCACACUUUCUUCAUGGUAAACAGAAUUACUUAUCCGGUCUUCUAGUUUUGAGGACUUUAAAACAAAGUCAAAUUUCUUCGAUUUGGGUUUUAAAAUAAACCAGUGACUUGGGAUACCUUAAUAAUUAUCCCAAGUAGAGACUCUGAAAUUAAAUAAAUAAUCCUAUUUUAAUUUAUGUCACUUUAAUUAGAAAAACUCUCUAUCCCCUCGGGAAAAAGAAAGUGUGAUAGCUCUGACGACUCUGCUGGGGAUCGAACCCAGAAUCUCUGGUUCAGGGUUCAGAAUUCGUAUCACGACCCAAUUCCAAUACAGUCCAUGAUGGCGCCCAACAUCGUUGUUAGGCAAGCCAACACUGAUCAAACUAGUGAUUUCCCGUUUAAAUAAAUUAAUAAGUGGCAACUUUUCAUUAUUUGUUAAAAUUUUUAAAAGUUUGCGAGUGUAACAUAAAUAAAUGGAAGUAAUGAGUACCAAUCGAAAUUAUGUAAGCAAACCAAAAUCAUAAGUCUACUAGUGUGUGUGCCAAGACCUGGUGUCACAAGUGUCAUGAUCCUAACCCAGAACCCGGUCGUGAUGGCGCUCGUGAAGACAAGGCCAGCCAGUUCAACCCAACUCAACUUUUAAAGCAGUUAAUCAACAUGAAAAUAGUCUAAACAUGACUUAAACAAUACUAAAUAGCAGAAAUAUCGAUAACAAUGCGAAAAGUCCAACCCGACACAGCCCUAACCAGGGUGUCACAAGUCAGGAGCAUCUCUAAACCAUAAUACUAGUCUGCUAAAGUCAUAAACUACUACAAGUGUUUGAAAGGAAAUAGAAAUGAUAGAGAAGUAGAGACACGGGGCUGUGGACGUCAACAACUACCUCAAAGUCUCCAAAAUCCGCCUGGAACUGGAGGAAUCAGUUCUCAGGAGCGGUACCAGCUACGCCUGAAUCUGCACACAAGAUGCAGGGAGUAAAGUAAGUACUCCAACUCAGUGAGUAACAAAUGUAAAUAACGACUGAAAUUAAGGAAACACGUAAAACACAAGGCAUUCUAUACUGAAGCAUGCAAAAAAAUCACUUAAAAUAGUAAAACAGUGAAGAGUCAAGUAAAAUCCCUUCUCAACAAGUAAAACAAGUAAUUGACAAGUAAGUAAACAAAUAGAAGUUCGCCCUUCGGGCAUAGUAUCAACGAAUCUGCCCCUCGGACAAUAUCUCAGAACAAUAUCAGCCCCUCGGGCUCAAUCUCGCAUCACAAUGGGUACCCGCGCUCACUAGGGGUGUACAGACUUCGGGAGGGGCCCCUUACGGCCCAAGCGCAAUAUCAAGCCAUCUCGUGGCAUCAAAUCUAGGCCCUCGGCCUUAUAUCAAUCAAGCCACCUCGUGCCAUAUUUAUGUAUCUCAGGCUCGGCCUCAUAUAAAUAUCAAUGUAUCCUCACAACUAGACCUUCUGCCUUACUUAGUCCAAAAAAAUCAUCACAAGGCUCUCGGGCAAUAGUAAAACAGUAUUUCUCAGCCCAAAACAUCAUUUAAAGAUAUCAUUUAAGUCUCAAAACUGAGUAAAAAUGGCUAAGUAGUAAAACAGUGAAAAAUAACAUGACUGAGUUCAAGUAAUAAGUCAAAACAGUGAGGAAAUAGUAAUAAAAAUUCCCGAAGGGUUCAAAUAGUUGGCACAAAGCCCAAAUAUGGCAAUCAUCCUAAAUUAUGAUGAUAGAAAAUACUCCCUCCGUUCCAAUUUAUGUGAACUUGUUUGACUGGGCACGAAGUUUAAGAAAAAAAAUGAAGACUUUUGGAAUUUGUGGUCCUAAAUAAGUCCAAAUGGGGACCAGAGUAUUUGUGUGGUUAUAAAAGCUUCUCAUUAAGGGUAGAGUUGUAACUUUAAGCUAAAUUGUUACCAAAUUUAGAAAGGGUUCAUUCUUUUUGGAACGGACCAAAAAGGAAAUAGGUUCACAUAAACUGGAUUAGAGGGAGUAAGUUUUAGUCAAGUACGCGAAAAAAUCAUCAAUCGAGACAGAGCAAGUCACAAUCCCCAAUAAUGCACAACCCCACGCUCAUCAUCAAGCGUGUGUCUCACCUUAAUAUAGCACUACGAUGUGCAAAUCUGGAGUUUCAAACCCUCAGAGCAUAAUUUACAAUCAUUACUCACCUUGAACCGGCUAAAUCUCUAACUCGCGACGCCUUUGACCCUCGAAUCAACCUUCACGUGCGUCGAAUCUAUCCAAAAUCAGAACGAAUACGUCACAAUAUGUUAAGGGAACAAAGCGCAAGCAAAAACAAUCAACAAAGGGCACGAUUUUCGAAAUUACCAAAACCCGAGCCCUGGACCCCCGUCUCGGAAUCGGGUAAAAUUUAUAUUUUCAGAAUUCNNNNNNNNNNNNNNNNNNNNNNNNNNNNNNNNNNNNNNNNNNNNNNNNNNNNNNNNNNNNNNNNNNNNNNNNNNNNNNNNNNNNNNNNNNNNNNNNNNNNNNNNNNNNNNNNNNNNNNNNNNNNNNNNNNNNNNNNNNNNNNNNNNNNNNNNNNNNNNNNNNNNNNNNNNNNNNNNNNNNNNNNNNNNNNNNNNNNNNNNNNNNNNNNNNNNNNNNNNNNNNNNNNNNNNNNNNNNNNNNNNNNNNNNNNNNNNNNNNNNNNNNNNNNNNNNNNNNNNNNNNNNNNNNNNNNNNNNNNNNNNNNNNNNNNNNNNNNNNNNNNNNNNNNNNNNNNNNNNNNNNNNNNNNNNNNNNNNNNNNNNNNNNNNNNNNNNNNNNNNNNNNNNNNNNNNNNNNNNNNNNNNNNNNNNNNNNNNNNNNNNNNNNNNNNNNNNNNNNNNNNNNNNNNNNNNNNNNNNNNNNNNNNNNNNNNNNNNNNNNNNNNNNNNNNNNNNNNNNNNNNNNNNNNNNNNNNNNNNNNNNNNNNNNNNNNNNNNNNNNNNNNNNNNNNNNNNNNNNNNNNNNNNNNNNNNNNNNNNNNNNNNNNNNNNNNNNNNNNNNNNNNNNNNNNNNNNNNNNNNNNNNNNNNNNNNNNNNNNNNNNNNNNNNNNNNNNNNNNNNNNNNNNNNNNNNNNNNNNNNNNNNNNNNNNNNNNNNNNNNNNNNNNNNNNNNNNNNNNNNNNNNNNNNNNNNNNNNNNNNNNNNNNNNNNNNNNNNNNNNNNNNNNNNNNNNNNNNNNNNNNNNNNNNNNNNNNNNNNNNNNNNNNNNNNNNNNNNNNNNNNNNNNNNNNNNNNNNNNNNNNNNNNNNNNNNNNNNNNNNNNNNNNNNNNNNNNNNNNNNNNNNNNNNNNNNNNNNNNNNNNNNNNNNNNNNNNNNNNNNNNNNNNNNNNNNNNNNNNNNNNNNNNNNNNNNNNNNNNNNNNNNNNNNNNNNNNNNNNNNNNNNNNNNNNNNNNNNNNNNNNNNNNNNNNNNNNNNNNNNNNNNNNNNNNNNNNNNNNNNNNNNNNNNNNNNNNNNNNNNNNNNNNNNNNNNNNNNNNNNNNNNNNNNNNNNNNNNNNNNNNNNNNNNNNNNNNNNNNNNNNNNNNNNNNNNNNNNNNNNNNNNNNNNNNNNNNNNNNNNNNNNNNNNNNNNNNNNNNNNNNNNNNNNNNNNNNNNNNNNNNNNNNNNNNNNNNNNNNNNNNNNNNNNNNNNNNNNNNNNNNNNNNNNNNNNNNNNNNNNNNNNNNNNNNNNNNNNNNNNNNNNNNNNNNNNNNNNNNNNNNNNNNNNNNNNNNNNNNNNNNNNNNNNNNNNNNNNNNNNNNNNNNNNNNNNNNNNNNNNNNNNNNNNNNNNNNNNNNNNNNNNNNNNNNNNNNNNNNNNNNNNNNNNNNNNNNNNNNNNNNNNNNNNNNNNNNNNNNNNNNNNNNNNNNNNNNNNNNNNNNNNNNNNNNNNNNNNNNNNNNNNNNNNNNNNNNNNNNNNNNNNNNNNNNNNNNNNNNNNNNNNNNNNNNNNNNNNNNNNNNNNNNNNNNNNNNNNNNNNNNNNNNNNNNNNNNNNNNNNNNNNNNNNNNNNNNNNNNNNNNNNNNNNNNNNNNNNNNNNNNNNNNNNNNNNNNNNNNNNNNNNNNNNNNNNNNNNNNNNNNNNNNNNNNNNNNNNNNNNNNNNNNNNNNNNNNNNNNNNNNNNNNNNNNNNNNNNNNNNNNNNNNNNNNNNNNNNNNNNNNNNNNNNNNNNNNNNNNNNNNNNNNNNNNNNNNNNNNNNNNNNNNNNNNNNNNNNNNNNNNNNNNNNNNNNNNNNNNNNNNNNNNNNNNNNNGAACCUUCUCGCCAACCAUGUAGGACAUAUCUCGAACCUUCCUAUCAGCAUAACUCUUUUGCCGCGAUUGCGUUGUACGAAGCCUCUCCUGAAUCACUUUCACUUUCUCUAAGGCAUCCUACACCAAAUCAGUUCCCAAUAGCCUAGCCUCACUGGGCUCGAACCAACCAACUGGAGAUCUACACCGCCUUCCAUACAAAGCCUCAUAUGGAGCCAUCUGAAUACUCGACUGGUAGCUACUAUUAUAAACAAACUCUACAAGCGGUAGAAACUCAUCCCAUGAUCCUUCGAAAUCAAUGACACAAGCACACAACAUGUCCUCCAAUAUCUGAAUAGUACGCUCGGACUGCCCGCCCAUUUGAGGAUGAAAAGUUGUGCUCAAGUCUACCUGAGUACCCAACUCUCUCUACACGACCCGCCAAAAUUGCAUAAAAACUGAGUACCUCUAUCUAAAAUGAUGGAAACUGUGACACCAUGCAAGCAAACAAUCUCUUGGACAUAGAUCCAUGUCAACCGCUCUGAAGAAUAGGUAGUACACACAGGAAUGAAGUACGCGGACUUGUUCAGUUGAUCCACAAUCACCCAAAUAGCAUCAAACUUCCUCAAAGUCCGUGUAAGUCCAACAACAAAGUCCAUAGUGAUUCUCUCCCACUUCCACUCAGAAAUAUCCAUCUGCUAUAGCAAGCCACCCUGUCUCUAAUGCUCGUACUUCACCUGCUGACAAUUGAGACACCGAGCUACAAAUCCCACAAUAUCUUUCUUCAUUUUUCUCCACCAAUAGUGCUGCCUCAAAUCUUGAUACAUCUUCGCGGCGCCUGGAUGAAUGGAAUACCGCGAGCUAUGGGCCUCCUCCAAAAUUAACUCCCGAAGCCCAUCCAUACUGGACACGCAAAUACGGCCUUACAUCCUCAACACCCCAUCAUCGCCGAUGGUCACAUCUCUGGAAUCAUCAUGCUUAACUCUGUCCUUAAGGACUAGCAAAUGCGGAUCAUCGUACUGGCGCUCUUUGAUGCGAUCAUAUAAGGAAGACCGAGAUACCACACAAGCCAAUACCCGACUAGGCUUCGAAAUCUCUAAUCUCACAAACCGAUUGGCCAAGGCUUGAACAUCAACUACAAGAGGUCUCUCCUCAACUGGAAUAUAUGCCAAACUCCCCAUACUCACUGCCUUUCGGAUCAAAGCAUCGGCAACCAUAUUGGCCUUCCCAGAUGGUACAAUAUAGUGAUAUCAUAAUCCUUAAGCAACUCCAACCAUCUCCGCUGCCUCAAAUUAAGAUCCUUUUGUUUGAACAAAUGCUGAAGACUACGAUGAUCAUUGAACACCUCACAAGAUCUGCCAUACAAGUAAUGCCUCCAAAUCUUCAAUGCAUGAACUAUGGCAGCCAACUCCAAAUCAUGAACGAGGUAGUUCUUCUCAUGGGGCUUCAACUGACGAGAAGCAUAAUUUAUAACUCUACCCUCCUGCAUCAACACACAACCAAUCCCAACUCUCGAAGCAUCACAAUACACGGUAUAUGAACCUGAAGCUGAUGGCAAAACCAACACUGGAGCUGUGGUCAAAGCUGUCUUGAGCUUCUGAAAGCUCUCUUCACACUUGUCCGACCAUACAAAUAUAGCACCCUUCUGAGUCAACUUGGUCAAGGGCUAUGCGAUAGAUGAGAAUCCCUAAACAAACCGGUGAUAAUAGCCUGUCAAACCAAGAAAACUGUGAAUCUCUGUGGCUGAGGACAGUCUGGGCCAACUCUGAACUGCCUCUAUAUUCUUCAGAUCAACCUGAAUACUCUCGCUGGACACCACGUGCACCAAGAAAGCCACUGAACCAAGCCAAAACUCACACUUGGAGAAUUUUGCAUAAAGCUUCUCCUCCCUCAAUCUCUGUAAUACAACUCUCAAAUGCUUCGCAUGCUCCUCCUGACUACGCGAAUACACCAGUAUAUCAUCAAUGAAGACUAUGAUGAAUAAAUCGAGAUAAGGCCGAAAUACGAUGUUCAUCAAAUGCAUGAACACUGCUGGGGCAUUGGUCAGCCCAAAAGACAUCACCAAGAACUCAUAAUGACCAUAUCGGGUCCUGAAAGACGUCUUAAAAAUAUCCGAGUCCCUUAUCUUCAACUGGUGAUAACCCGAACGGAGAUCAAUCUUGGAGAACACCCUCGCUCCCUAAAGUUGGUCAAAUAAAUCAUCAAUGCAAGGAAAAAGAUACUUGUUCUUAAUUGUUACCUUGCUCAAUUGUCUAUAAUCGAUGCACAUUCUCAUGGUGCCAUCCUUCUUCUUCACAAACAGAACUGGCACACCCCAAGGUGACACACUAGGCCGAAUGAAUCCUUUAUCUAGGAGCUCCUGAAGUUGCUCCUUCAAUUCCUUCAACUCCGUUGGUGCCAUACGAUAAAGAAGAAUAGAAAUGGGCUGAGCGCCCGGCACCAGGUCAAUACCAAAAUCAAUAUCCCUAUCUGGUGGCAUGCCCGACAGGUCUGUAGGAAACACAUCGGGAAAGUCCCUCACAACUGGAACAAAAUCAAUACUGGGAGUCUCAGCUCCGACAUCCCUCACAAAUGCUAGGUAUUAAAGACAACCCUUCCCAACCAUACGCUGGGCUCUCAAGAAAGAGAUCACUCUACUAGGAACAUAAUCAGGCACACCUCGCCACUCGAUCCGUGGCACACCCGGCAUAGCCAGUGUAACUAUCUUAGCAUGACAGUCCAGAAUAGCUUGACACAGAGAUAACCAAUCCAUGCCCAAAAUGGCAUCAAAAUCUACCAUGCUCAAUAGUAAUAGAUCCACUCAGGUCUCUAGACCCCCAAUAGUCACCACACAUGACCGGUACACAUGGUCUACAAUAACAGUAUCGCCCACCGGGGUAGAUACAUGAACAGGUAAAGCAAGAAGCUCAUGGGGCGUACCCAAAUAACGAGCAAAGUAUGAUGACACAUAAGAAAAGGUGGAACCGGGAUCAAAUAAUAUAGAGGCAUCUCUGUGGCAGACUGAAACAAUACCUGUAAUGACAACAUCUGAAGCAAUAGCAUCUGGUCUGCCUAGGAUGGCAUAGAAACGGGCCUGACCACCCCCUGAUCAACCUCCCCCUCUGGGGCGACCCCUGGAUGACUGACCUCCACCCCUAGCUGGCUGAGCGGAUGGUGGUAAAGAAACUGGCUCUGAAGCCGAAGACUGACCCCUCUGUUGGGAUGAACUAGCAACACGACGAGGACACUACUUCCACAUGUUGCCUAUUUCGCCACACUCAUAACAACUCUCAGAUUUUGGAGAAGGGGACUAAAGGGAACCCCUCGCACCAGAGUGACUAGCUGAUGCACUCGACAUAGAAGAACUUUGAACCGAUGGGGCACGAGAUGAACUCUGAGCUGGAAGGGCGCUAAGUGAGGACUGGCCCUAUUGAGAUCCAUGAUAACCAUGACCCGAAGAUGCCCCUCGAUAACCUGGGCGAGCUGACUGAGCAGGCCUGGAUGAACGACCUCUACUAUGCUGGAACUGGCCCCUCGAAGGAGCACCACUAUAGCUUCCACAUCCUCGAGGCCUCUUGGCCUCCCUCUCCUCUCGCUCCUGAUGGCGAACAGUCUCAAUCUCACAGGCGAUAUCAACAACCUCCUCGAAGGUAGCACUGGUCACCCUCUCUCUGGUCAUAAGAAUACGGAGGUGGUAAGUAAGACCAUCAACAAAUCUCCUGAUCCUCUCUUGAUCUGUUGAAACAAUCUAGAUGGCAUGGCGAACCAACUUAGAAAACCUCAACUCAUACUAUGACACAGUCAUAUCCCCCUGUCGCAACCACUCAAACUGUCUAUGUAGCUCCUCUCUACGGGACUGCGGCACAUACUUCUCCAGGAAGAGAACGGAGAACUGCUGCCAAGUAAGGGGCAUUACACCAACAGGCCAACACCUCUCAAAAUCCUCCCACCAAGUAAAAGUAGCUUCUGAAAACUGAUAGGUGGUAAAAGCGACCCCGCUGGUCUCCAGAAUACCGGCAGUACGAAGCAUCCUCUGACACUUAUCCAAAAAGCCCUAGGCAUCCUCGCCCUCUGCGCCACUGAAGGUCGGAGGCUGUAAUCUACCAAACCUCUCCAAUCUACGUUGCUCAUCCUCCGGCAUGACAGGAACCACAUAGUCCUAAGCAGCUGCGACCGGCUAGGCUGGAUGCGCCCCCGACAUUUGAAGUCCCUGCAUACCUGCUCAGGUGUGCGAGCAACGGGAGUCUGAUUGCCUCCCCCGAUCUGUGAAGUAGCUGCCGCUGUAGUGGCUGAAACCGCCUAAGCCAGGCCAGUGCAAACUAUUAAGAUCUAUGCCAGGGCCUCCUGAAGACCCGAAAUCAUGAUGGGCACAGCUGGUGCCUAAACUGGUGUUGCUGGAGCAUCCAUAGCUAGAGCCUGAUCCUGAGCUGGGGCAGCUGGUGGAUCAACAGGUGCUACCUUCACAGCUCUGCCUCUGCCACGACCACGAUCUCGUCCUCGGCCUCUGGUGGUCUCAGCUGGUGGCACUGGUAGUCUUCCACCCCGCCCGGUAGCGCGUGUCCUCACCAUCUGUUAGAGAAGGGAAUAACAAAAGUUUAGUACCCGGAUCAACAAGUUUGCACGAUAAAAAUUUCAAGAAUGUGAAGUUUUCCUAAAGGUUCUGCAGCCUCUCGAGGAUAAAUACAAACGUCUCCAUACCGAUCCGCAGGACUCUACUAAACCUGCUCAUAACUCAUGAGACCUCUAGGCUCUAAUACCAACUUGUCACGACCCUAACCCCGAACUCGGUCGUGAUGGCGCCUCUCGUGAAGACAAGGCCAGCCAGUUCAACCCAACUCAACUUUUAAAGCAGUUAAUCAACAUCAAAAUAGUCUAAACAUGAUUUAAACAAUACUAAAUAACGGAGAUAUCGAUAACAAUGCGGAAAGUCCAACCCGACACAACCCUAAUCGGGGUGUCACAAGUCACGAGCAUCUCUAAACCAUAAUACUAGUCUGCUAAAGUCAUAAACUACUACAAGUGUUUGAAAGGAAACAAAAAUGAUAGAGAAGUAGAGACACAGGGCUACGGACGUCAACAACUACCUCGAUGUCACAACCCAAUUUAGGAUUUUGACUGGCGUUUAGGAGCAAGUGCUCCCAAGUAAGCCUCAUCGGUAAUUUUUACAGAAAAUCAGACAGAGUUUCCCCUAUUUUUGGACCAUCCCAAAAUUUUCCUCCUUUCUCAAAUCAGCAACCAAACACCCUAAUAGCAACUCAAACAAUUGACAACUUAUUAAUUAACCAAAAUAGUCUUCACCAUUACUAAUCAACCCACUAACAACCAGAAAUACUAAUUUAUCUCUGACUUUGAAAAUAAAGAACGAUACCCGACAUAAGACUAUAAUAACAAAAGAAUACUCACGACACUAAAAUAAUGACUAUGGAGCGACUCUAAAAAUUCAAAGAAAAGACCAUAACAAUAAAUAAAAUCUCUACCCACGCUAACAAGUGCGAGGCUCACCAAGAACUAUUAACCUGUGCGCUCUAAUUAACAAAAUCCUUGCCUGCGUCAACUGCUGUCUCUAGUAAAAAAAUUUAGCGGGGAAUGAGUCGAUAGCUCAGUGAGUAAUAACACUUAACCACAACCGUUUUUAUUUGGGGACAAGUCAUAAACAUGCUAGUAUCUCAACGAGAAAAUAACAUAAAAAUGCCCUUCAGAAAUAAUAAAUAAUUUUCAGUCUCAUCACGCUUUUUUUGUAGUAAAAUAUAAUUAACAAUUCAGUAAUAAGUUCGGUAACCACGGUAUAAUAACAAUAUUCAAAUUUGGGAGGUUUCAAUGAACGAAUCAUAUAAUCGGUAUAACUGUGGACUUCUUCGCAAGAAGUCAAAUAUAACGGUACUCCCUACUCGAGGGAAAUCGGUAACGGUAUGAUAGUUCUACCUUCCCACUAGUGAGGGCUAUAACUGUACUCUGUAAUCAGUAAAUACAAGGUGCACCAGGUCUAACGAACCCGUCGUUAGCUACGGGAUCCUUCAAAGUCUACUCCCAUUUAUACUUGUCUCUGCAUCCGUAUAUACUCAUAGGAAAAUAUUUUAAAACAAUAUAGGGCAUUUCGGUUCUUAUCAAAUCAUGUAAUUUCAUUUCAACAACAGUAAAUUCAAGUAACGGUAGAACAUAUCUAGUGACAACAAGAAUAUUUAAAACAACGGUAAUCAUCUCAAAUAACUAUUUCGGUAUCAUUAUCGAGUAAAAGACUUGUCCCACAUGUAACUCAAAAUAAUCGGUAACAUAUUUGUAUUAAAAAUCAUGUGUAAAUCAUGCAAGUUAUGAAAACACAAAUUGCGGUAAGCUUACUACUAAUAGUACUCGUGCCGAAAUGCCAACUGCUUCACCUCAAGCAACUCGUACAAAUUCCUCCGAUCAAUCUAUAAUUACAUAAUAUCGAUCUCAUGUUAAUUUUCUUAUUUAGGCUAAUUCAUAGCUAUUUUAGAAUACCCAACCCUCGAGGUUUCAUGUUUGACACUUAAUUUACCCAGAAUAAUUCUUAUUGGUAUUUAAUUUCUUAUACCUUGUGAAACCUUUCAAAUAUAUGAACUGAGAUAAAAAGAAUUACCAGAAGAAAACAACCCACAUAAGAAAUUCGAGUAUUACACGUAAAACCAGUGCGUAUUUAAGAUUUCUCAAGAUUUGGUUCUAGCCUAUUUCUUCUUCUCCCCUUCUUUCCUUCUCUAUUUUUUUUUCUUGAUUUGUUUCAGCUUCUACUUCGUCUUAUGCAGAUUCUAUUUGCCAGAGAAAGGGGGCUUUGGCCUUUUUCCUUUGUUUUGUUUCUGUUAGAUUAACGUAGGGCUUUGCCCUAUUUAAUCUUGUAAUUUAAUUUAUUUUUUUUGGUAAAUUACGUAAUUAUCCUCUUUCUUUUAAUGAGUAUUACACUUGAAGUCUUCGAAAACCGCCUGGAACUGGAGGAAUCAGCACUCAGGAGCGGUACCAGCUACGCCUGAAUCUGCACACAGGGUGCAGGGAGUAAAGUGAAUACUCCAACUCAGUGAGUAACAAAUGUAAAUAACGACUAAAAGUAAGGAAACACGUAAAACACAAGGCAUUCUAUACUGAAGCAUGCAAAAAAAAAUCACUUAAAACAGUAAAACAGUGAAGAGUCAAGUAAAAUCCCUUCUCAACAAGUAAAACAAGUAAUUGACAGAUAGGUAAACAAAUAGAAGUUCGCCCCUCGGGCACAGUAUCAACGAAUCCGCCCCUCGGGCAACAUCUCAGAAUAAUAUCAGCCCCUCGGGCUCAAUCUCACAUCCUAAUAUGUACCCGCGCUCACUGGGGGUGUACAGACUCCGGGAAGGGCCCCUUACAGUACAAGCGGAAUAUCAAGUCAUCUCGUGGCAUCAAAUCUAGGCCAUCGACCUCAUAUCAAUCAAGCCACCUCGUGGCAUAUUUAUGUAUCUCAGGCCCUCGGCCUCAUAUCAGUAUCAAUGUAUCCUCAGAACUAGGCCCUCGGCCUUGCUUAGUCGAAAAUAAUCAUCACAAGCCCCUCGGGCAAUAGUAAAAUAGUAUUUCUCAGCCCAAAACAUCAUUUAAAGAUAUCAUUUAAGUCUCAAAACUUAGUAAAAAUGGCUAAGUAGUAAAACAGUGGAAAAUAACAUGACUGAGUUCAAGUAAUAAGUCAAAACAGUAAGGAAAAAGUAAUAAAAAUCCCCGAAGGGUUCAAAUAGUUGGCACAAAGCCCAAAUAUGACAAUCAACCCAAAUCAUGAUGAUAGCAAAUAAAUUUCAGUCAAAUAUGCAGUAAAAUCAUCAAUCGAGACGGACCAAGUCACAAUCCCCAAUAGGGCACGACCUCACGCUCGCCAUCAAGCGUGUGUCUCACCUCAAUAUAGCAAUACGAUGUGUAAAUCCGGGGUUUCAAACCCUCAAAGCAUCAUUUACAAUCAUUACUCACCUUGAACCGGCUAAAUCUCUAACUCGCGGCGCCUUUGCCCCUCGAAUCGGCCUCCAUGCGUGUCGAAUCUAUCCAAAAUCAGAACGAAUAUGUCACAAUAUGCUAAGGAAACAAAGCCCAAGCAAAAACAAUCAACAAAGGGCACGAUUUUCGAAAUUACCAUAACCCGAGCCCCGGGCCCACGUCUCGGAAUCGGGUAAAAUUUACAUUUUCAGAAUCCUCAUACCCUCACGAGUCUAACCAUACCAAAAUUAUCCAAUUAUGGUACCAUUUGGUCCUUCAAAUCAUCAUUUUAUAGUUUUGGAAGAUUCUACAACUUUUCUUCCCCAAAUUCCAUCCCAACUCACGAAUUAAAUGAUGAAUUCAAUGACAUAUUCAUGUAUUCUAGCCAAAUCUGAGUUAGAAUCACUUACCCCGAUGAAUUUCUUGAAAAACCUUCAAAAUAUCGCCAAAAUCCUAGCUCUCUAGGUCAAAAUAUUAAAUAAAGCCCAAAAUCUCAUAUUUAUAGAGUACCCCACAGAUUUCCACCUCUGCAGACCGCACAAAAACGACCAUGGUCCCCACAAAACAAGUGCGGUCCGCACAAAAAUGACUGUGGUCUCACAGGUUUUCAUCUGUAGUGAUAGGCUUUAGUAUUUUGGCCAUAACUUUCGCUACAGAUGUCCAAAUUGCAAUCUUUACCUUUCUGGAAACUAGACACGAAGGGCUACAACUUUCGUUUUUAAAUCAUCUCAAAAUUUCUUGUAGAUCAAAAGAUAUGUGCUUCUGAAGUAGGACGUGUGAAAUGUUCCCCACCGCAGCCGCACUUCAUUUUGUACGGACCGCGCUGGUGAGUUCCGAGGCCUGCAACCCUUCUGGACCUGCUAAGCUAUGAUUUUCGGCCUAAAACAUCCUGGAACCUACCCGGAACCCUCCGGAACUUCAAACCAAUUGUACCAACACAUUCCAUGACAUCGUUCAAACUUGUUCAAAACUUCGGAACACUCACAACAACAUCAAAUCACCAAUUUAACAUAGGAUUCAAGCCUAAUAACUCAAAGAACUCUUAAAUUAUGCUUUCGAUCAAAAAGUCUGUCAAAUCUUGUCCGAAUGACCUGAAAUUUUGUACACACAUCCCAAAUGACACAACGAAGCUACUGUCACUCUCGAAAUUCCAUUCCAACCCCUAUAUCAAAAUCUUGCCUAUCAACCGGAAAUCGCCAAAAUAUCAACUUUGCCAAUUUAAGCCUAAAUCUUCUCUACAACUCCAAAACCCAUUCCGAUCGUGCUCCUAAGUCACAAAUAACCUCCCGAAGCUAACCGAACCAUCAGAACUCUCUUCCGAGCCUUCUAAUGCAUAAGUCAAUAUCCAGUUGACUUUUCCAACUUAAGCCUUCUUAAAAGAGACUAAGUGUCUUAAACUUCACCAAACUCAUUUCGGACUCGAUCCGACCAACCCGAUACCACAAAACACGGAUAACGAUGCAUAAAGAAGCUAAAAUAGGGAAACGGAGUGAUAACUCAUGAGACGACUGGCCGGGUUGUCACAAUAAGUAUGUGGGCAAUCUAGUAGAAUAUACAAAAGAAUGUUAGCCUAUUAAACAAAGGAAAUAGACAAAAAAUAAAAUGUACGAGAGACUCCAACUGUUGCAGAACGGCUCAAAAGGGAAGCUCACCGGGAAGUCUCGAGCUAGGGAAUCAAGUCUACGCGUCGGACUGGUGGCCAGAUGCACCUGCAUCAAAUGCUGUACAAUCAAGUACAGAAGUGUAGGGUGAGUACAUAAAAAUAUAUGCCAAGUAAAUAUCUAGUCUAACCUCAAAGAAGUAGUGAUGAGGGAUCGACUCUGACACUUACUCGGGCCAACAAUAUAAUAAUGUGAACUUUCUAAUUAAGCAUAAUACAUGGAGAUAACAGUAAACUCAGAACAAGAAAAUAAUAACUGAACAAUUCUCCCAUCAUAAUUAAGAACCACAAUAAAACACUUCCUUUAUUUAGAACAAGUGAUCUCUCAAACAACAAAUUUAUACAAGUUAUGAUUAUUUCCAGUACUAUUAUCACACAUGAAUACUAUCGAGGACGUUCGGCCCGAUCUAAUAUAAAUGUAAACUGGCACUGCUGAGGGUCGAACGGUUCAAAAUAUAGAUGCAUCUAUUCACCCCGCUUGUGAAUCAUAUAUGCGACGUGGUCAAAUAUAAAGUCAAAGAAUUACCCCGCUCGCGGAUCAUACGUGCAACGCGGUCAAGUGUAAAAUUAAUCAUUUAAAUCAUAAUUCCUUCUUGAAUCUUUUAAAAAUAAAGACAAUUUAAUUUGAAACCUUUAAAUCCUUAGAAAUCCUCAACUUAAUUUCAUUUAUCAUAAUUAGCAAGUAUAAUCAAAUAGUGGUGUCCACAAAGCAUGGUAUAAACCUAAAACUACCCAGACAUGAUAUGUAUAUUAGCUACGUACGGACUCUCAUCACUUCGUGCGUACGUAGCCCCCACAAAUAAUCACAUAUAGAUUAAGUUCACGUAUGGGAAGGUUAGAAAAGAGCCUUACCUCGUCUCAAAGCCUACUUCCAAACUCAAGAAUGCGCUCAAACCCUCAAAUCGGAGCCGAACAAUUCAAAACUAUUCAAAUAGUGUAAAAACUAAUCAAUAUAUGUUCAAAAGUUUAUAUUAUAACUAUUAAAGUGAUUAACCAACUAAAAGGCAAGAUUCCUAAAAUUUACCUCCAGGCCCACAUGCCCGAAUUCCGGAAAAUUUCGAAGGAAGUUGUUACCCAUAACCUAAGGAACAUAAAUACAUGAUUAUUACUAAGUUUCAUGGUCAAUUUUGUGGUAAAAUAAUUUCUGUAAGUUUUCAUAUUGAAAUCUAUCCAUAAUCUAUGUAUUAACUCACAAUAGGUAGAAAUUACUUACCUCCAAAAGCAAGGUGGAAAUCCCUCUCAAGAAAGUCCAUUAAUCACCCAAAGAGUGAGAGAAACUGAGUGAAAAUUACUUAAGUCCUGUAUUAAAUGAACCUCACUGCCUCCAGCUUUUCCACAUCUGCGGUCCCGCUUCUGUGGACAAGGGUCCGCUUCUGCAGAAGUUGCCCUAGGCCAGUUGGGUCUCAUCUAUAGUCGGGUAACCGCUUUUGCGGUCCCGCUUCUGCAGAGAAGGGGUCGCAUCUGCGGAACCUGGGCUGCCCUUCCUUGGUCGAUUCUGAGAUGCUUAGCCCGCACCUGCGGUUGACCAACCGUAUGUGCAGUUAUGAAAGAUCUGGUGCACUACAGCAGUGGUUCCAAAUUUCCAACUUGGUCCGAGCCUCAUCCGGUUAGCACUCGAGGUCCUUGGGGCCCCUCCCAAACAUACUAACAAUUUUGGAAUCAUAAAACGGACUCGCUCGAACUCACGGAUUGCUCGAAUCAACAUUAAAAUUAAGAAUAACACCCUAAAACCAACUGAAUAAAACUUAAGAACUUCAAGUUCUUCAAUUUACUUCCAAUGCGCCAAAACGUAAUUAUACUAUUGGGAAUGACACAAAAUUUUACGAGCAAGUCUUAAAUGACAUUACGGAACUAUUCUCUGUCUCGGAAUUCCAUUCGGACCUCGAUAUAACCAAAACCUACUCCGAACCAAAUUUAAAGAAUUUCUAAAACCUUCAAGAACCAACUUUUGCUAUUAAGUGGCGAAACACUCCUGGGUCAUCCAAACGCAAUCCAAGCAUACGCUCAAGCACAAAAUCAUCCUACAAACCUAUUGGCAAGACUUUUAAGAGAACCUUCUCGCCUACCAUAAAUGUUACAUCACGCGCCUUCUGAUUCGCGUAACUCUUCUAUCUGGACUGUGCUGUGUGAAGUCGCUCCUGAAUCAACUUUACCUUUUCCAAGGCAUCCUUCACCAAAUCAGUACCAUAUAACUUAGCCUCAUCGAGCUCAAACCACCCGAUUGGGGAAUGACACCGUCGACCAUAUAAAGCCUCAAAUGGAGCCAUCUCGAUGUUGGAAUGAUAACUGUUAUUGUAAGCAAACUCGGCCAAAGACAAGAACUGAUCCCACUAUCCCCCAAAGUCAAUCACACAUGCUCUGAGUAUGUCCUCUAAUAUCUGAACCGUCCGCUCUGAUUUCCCGUCAGUCUGUGGGUGGAAUGAUGUGCUGAGCUCUACACGGGUCCCCAACUCACUUUUUAUGGCUCUCUAAAAAUGUGAAGUGAACUGAGGGCCUCUAUCUGAUAUGAUGGAAACAGUCACACCGUGCAACCGAACUAUCUCCCGAAUAUAAAUUUGGGCCAACUUCUCUGAAGUAUAGGUAGUCACAACCGGAAUGAAGUGUGCCAACUUGGUCAACUUGUCGAUGAGGACCCAAACUAUAUCGAACUUCUGCAAGGUCCGCAGCAACCCACUACAAAGUCCAUAGUGAUGCGCUCUCAUUUCUGCUCAGGUGAUUCAUCUACUGAAGUAGGCUAUCUGGCCUCUGGUGCUCAUAUUUGACCAGCUGUCAAUUUAGACAUCUAGCUACAUACUCCACUAUGUCUUUCUUCAUCCGCCGCCACCAAUAAUGUUGUCUUAGGUCACGAUACAUCUUUGUAGCACCUGGAUGAAUAGAAUACCGAGAACUGUGUGCCUCCUCUAGAAUCUUCUCCCUCAAGCCAUCGACAUUAGGAACGCAUAGUCGACCCUGAAGUCGCAGAAUGCCAUCCUUACCAAUAGAAACCUCCUUGACACUACCCUGUAGCCAAGGACUGAAUGUCCAAAGCUAGUGGCCUCUCCUCUACUGAAAUGCAUUCCAAGCUACCCAUACUCUCCGCGACCACAUUUGCCUUGCCCGGAUGAUAAAGAAUGGUGAUGUCAUAAUCCUUCAGUAACUCAAGCCACUUAUGCUACCUCAAAUUGAGAUCCUUUUGCUUGAACAAAUGCCGUAAGCUGCGAUGAUAGUACAAAUCUCACAUGACACCCCAUGCAGAAAUGCCUCCAUAUCUUAAGAGCAUGAACAAUUACGGCUAACUCUAGGUCAUGCACAUGGUAAUUUUUCUCAUGAAUCUUCAGUUGACGCGAAGCAUAUGCAAUAACUCACCCCUCCUACAUCAAUACACAACCCAAGCUAACGCGUGAAGCAUCGCAAUACACAGUAUACAUCCCCAAACUGGAAGGCAACACUAGAACUAGUGUUGUAGUCAAAGUUGUCUUGAGCUUCUGAAAGCUCGCCUCACAAUCAUCAGACCAGUGAAACGGAAUACCCUUUUGUGUAAAUCUAGUCAAAAGUGCUGCAAUAGAUGAAAAACCCUGCACAAACCGGCGAUAAUAACCUGCUAACCUCAAGAAACUCCUGAUCUCAGUCAUCAAAGUGGGACAUGGCCAACUCUGAACUACCUCAAUAUUCUUGGGAUCCAUCUUAAUACCCUCUCGCGAUACAACAUGUCCCAAGAAUGACAUAGACUCUAGCCAAAACUUACACUUGGAGAACCUAGCAUAUAGCUUAUGUUCUCGCAGUGUCUGAAGCACCACUCUCAAAUGUUGCUCAUGCUCCCCCAGGCUACGUGAGUAAAUCAAGAUGUCAUUAAUAAAGAUAAUAACAAAGGAAUCAAUAUAAGGCCUGAACUCCCGGUUCAUUAAAUCCAUAAGUACCGCUGGGCCAUUAGUCAAGCCGAAAGAUAUCACUAGAAACUCAUAAUGGCCAUAUCUAGUACGGAAAGCAAACUUCAGAACAUCUGAGUCCCGAACCUUCAAUUGAUGGUACCCUGACCUCAAGUCGAUCUUAGAGAACACCCUAGCACCCUGCAACUGGUCAAACAAAUCAUCGAUACGUGACAACCGGUGCUUGUUCUUGAUGGUAACUUUGUUCAACUGGUGGUAAUCAAUGCACAUCCGCAUAGUCACAUCUUUCUUCUUCACGAAUAAUAGUGGUGCACCCCAAAGUGAUACACUUGGCCUCACAAACCCUUUGCUGACAGCUCCUCAAGCUGUUCCUUCAACUCCUUCAACUCUUUCGGAGCCAUGCAGUAUGGUGGGAUAGAUAUAGGCUUGGUACCUGGAGCCAAAUCAAUACAGAAAUCAAUAUCACGAUCUGGUGGCAUGCUUGGAAGGUUAGAAGGAAACACAUCGGCAAAUUCUCAAACCAAUAGCACUGAAUCAAUCAUCGAAAACUCUAUAGUGGUAUCCCAAACAUAGGCUAGAUAAGCUAAACAACCCUUCUUGCUUAUAUGUCGAGCCUUCAGAAAAGAGAUAACUUGAUUAGUUGUGCUAACGGAGGAACCCCUCAACUCCAAUCUCGGCAACUUUGGCAUCGCUAAAGUAACAGUCUUGGCAUGGCAAUAAAGGAUGGUGUGAUAUGGAGAUAACCAGUCCAUGCUCAGGAUGACCUCAAAGUUGAUCAUAUCAAGUAGCAGAAGGUCCGCUCUAGUCACAUAACCACAGAUUGUAACCAUGCACGAUCGAUAGAUCUAAUCCACAACCAUAGAAUCGCCCACAAGAAUGGACACAUAAAUAGGAGUACCCAAGGACUCACGAGGAAUAUCCAAGAAAUGAGCAAACAGAGAUGACACAUAUAAAUAGGUAGACCCUAGAUUAAAUAAUAUCGAAGCAGCCCUACCGUAUAUAGAAAUAAUACCUAUGAUCAUGGCAUUUGAGGCUACUGUAUCUGGUCUGGCCAGAAAAGCAUAGAAUCUAGCUGGAGCGCCUACUGGUUAGCCUCUACCUGGAUGAAAAAUAGCUGGCUGGCCUCCCCUACCUGGCUUCCACCUCUAGGAUGGCCCCUACCAGCCUGUCCCCCACCUUUAGGCAGUCUGGCGGCUGGUGAUGCAAUCAUGGGCUGAUGACCCUAUUGUACUACCUUGCCCCGAAGUCUGGGACAGGUCAUUUUGAUGUGACUUGUAUCUCCACACUCAUAACAACCUCUCGAUACCAUAGAUUGUUGUCCCAAAGUCUGACCCUGAUGGCCUGAAUACCCAUUAGAAGGAUCCUAAAUGGGUGGUGGGCGGUAUGAACUCUCUGGCAUGGCACUAAAAUAGGCACUAGAAGAACCUGAUGAGCUGGUAGGCGAUAAGAACUCUUUGGCAUGGUACUGAAGUAGGGCCGUGUUGGAGCACUUUGAGGAGGUGGUAGUGCUGGAUAUGUGGUUCUGCUAGGGUCAAAUUGACCUCCUCCCCUAGCCAAGGCGCCUCUAAACUCUCCAGAGAAUUGGGUCCUCUUGUCCUACUACAUCUGCUCUCUACCCUUCUAUCGGUAGCCCUCAAUCCUCCAAGCAAUCUCUACCACUAGUUGAUAGUCAGUACCCAUCUCAACAUCUCUGGCCAUGCUAGCCCGAAUACCGGGGUGCAACCCUGCAAUAAAUCUCCGCACUCCUUCUACUUUCGUAGGAAGUAUCAAAAGUGCAUGGCGAGACAACUCAUAAAAUUUCCCCUCAUAAUUGGUCACAGACAUCUGACCCUGCUCGAACUGACAUCACAACUCUUCCCUCUGAGAGGGCGGAAUAUACCUAUCCAAGAAAAGUUGUGUGAACUGAUCCCAAGUAUGGGAGGAGAAUCUACUAGUUUGCCAAGAAAAUAAGAAUUCCACCAUCUACGAGCCUUGCCCUCCAACUAGAAGGUAGUGAAAUCCACUCCGUGCGAAUACAAUAUCCACAUGUUGUGUAGUCUUUUCCUGCACAUUGUCAAUGAAGUCCUGAGGAUCCUCAUGUCGAUCACCCCCAAAGACCGAAGGGUGAAGCCUAGACCAUCUGUCCAAAAGCUUCUACGGCUCGCCAACAGCAGCUGGUCUAGGAUCAGGCACAACUGCUACUACUGGCUGGGCUCCAACUAUAGGAAGAGUGCCUGGAGUAUGAUAUACAGCGGCUGCAUGCCCUAGAGCCUGAACGGUAGGGGUAUGUGCUCCCUCUCUCGCCUGAGAUGUGGCUGGGUCUAUUGGAAGUAAACCGCCCUGAGUCAUGGAGUCCAUGAACCGUAACAUACAACCCAUGACCUCCUCGAAGCCUAGUGUUGUCAUGAAGUCGAUCGAGGCUGGCUCUGCUACGGGCACCUCGUCCUGCUCCUCAACUAUGGGAUCCUCUACUAGAUCCGUAGGCGGUGCGACUGGGGAAACUCUGGGAUGACCUUGCCCCUACCUUGGGCUAGUGCCCUCCCCCGGCCUCUAGCAACAGGGGGAGCAGCUCCUCCCAGGUCUAGAACGUCUGUUGCGCGCGUCCUCACCAUCUGUAUUAGAAUAGAAGGAAGAACUUAGUAUACCAUCAACUGUACGAUAGGAGAUGAAUAAAGAGUAGUUUUCUAACAUCCUAUAACCUCUCAAAGAUAAGUACGAAUGUCUCCGCACUGAUCUAUAAGAUUCUAUUAGAGCUGCUUAUGAGACCUACGUGAACCUAGUGCUCUGAUACCAUGUUGUCAUGAUCCAAUCCCAAUACAGGCCGCGAUGGCACACAACACCAUUGUUAGGCAAGCCAACACUGAUCAAACUAGUGAUUUCCCGUUUAAAUAAAUUAAUAAGUGGCAAAUUUUCCUUAUUUGUUAAAAGUUUUAAAAGUUUGCAUGUGUAACAUAAAUAAAUGGAAGCAAUGAGUGCCAAUNNNNNNNNNNNNNNNNNNNNNNNNNNNNNNNNNNNNNNNNNNNNNNNNNNNNNNNNNNNNNNNNNNNNNNNNNNNNNNNNNNNNNNNNNNNNNNNNNNNNNNNNNNNNNNNNNNNNNNNNNNNNNNNNNNNNNNNNNNNNNNNNNNNNNNNNNNNNNNNNNNNNNNNNNACUAGACUAUUAUCUGAAGGAAAUAGAUAGAAAAUAAAACGUAAGAGAGACUCCAACUACUGCAAAACAUCUCAAAAGGGAAGCUCACUGGGAAGUCUCGAGCAGGUGAAUCAAGUCUACGCACUGAACUGGUGGCUAGAUGUACCUGCGUCAAUCCUAUACAAUCAAGUACAGAAGAGUAGCGUGAGUACAUAAAUAUAUACUAGUAAGUAUCUAGUCUAACCUCAAAGAAGUAGUGACGAGGGGUCGAGUCCGAUAUUUACUAGGGGUAAUAAUAUAAUAAUGUGAAAUUUCUAAUUAAGCAUAAUACAUGGAGAUAACAGUAAACUCAAAACAGGAAAGAAUAACUGAAUAAUUAUCCCAUCAUAAUUAAGAACCAUAAUAAAACACUUCCCUUAUUUAGAACAAGUGAUCACUCAAACAACAAAUUUAUACAACUUAAGAUUAGUUUCCAGUUCUAUUAUUACACACAAAUACCACCAAGGACGUUCGGCCCGAUCCAAUAUAAAUGUAAAUUGUGCACUACCGAGGGUUGAACGGCGGAUAGAUGCAUCAAUUCAUCCCGCUCGUGAAUCAUACAUGCGACACGGUCAAACAUGAAGUCAAAGAAUUACCCCGCUCGCGGAUCAUACGUGGGACGUGGUCAAGUGUAAAGUUAAUCAUUUAAAUCAUAAUCCCUUCUUGAAUCUUUUAAAAAUAAAGACAAUUUAACUUGAAACCUUUAAAUCCUUAGAAAUCCUAAACUUAAUUCCAUUUGUUACAAUUAGCAAGUAUAGUCAAAUAACGGUGUUCACAAAGCAUGGUGCAAACCUAAAACUACCUGGACAUGACAGUUAUAGUAGCUACGUACUAACUCUCGUCACUUCGUGCGUACGUAGCUCCCACAAAUAAUCACAUAUAGAUUAAGUUCACCUAUGGGAAAAUUUUCCUCUUACAAGGUUAGAAAAGAGACUCACCUCGUCUCAAAGCCUAAUUCCAAACUCAAGAAUGCGCUCAAACCCUCAAAUCGGAGUCGAACAAUCCAAAACUAUUCAAAUAGUGUAAAAACUAAUCAAUAUAUGUUCAAAAGAUCAUAUUAUAAUUAUUAAAGUUAUUACUCAACCAAAAGGCAAGAUUCCUAAAAUUCACCCUAGGGCCCACGUGCUCGGAUUCCGAAAAUUUUCGAAGGAAGUUGUUACCCAUGACCUAAGGAAUAUAAAUAUAUGAUUAUCACUAAGUUUCAUGGUCAAUUUUGUUGUAAAAUCUCAUUCUUCUCAAACCCUAGGUUUUUUAUCUCAACCCAUUAUUUCUACAAAUUUUCAUGUUAAAAUCUAGCCAUAAUCUAUAUAUUAACUCACAAUAGGUAGAAAUUACUUACCUCCAAAAGUUAGGUGGAAAUCCCUCUCAAGAAGCUCCAAUAAUCGCCCAAAGAGUGAGAGAAAAUGAGUGAAAAUGGCUUAAGUCCCUAUCACGACCCAAACCGAUGGGCUGCGAUGGGCACCCGGUGCCUUACUCAACCGCGUACCAACGUUCAUAUCUUUUUAAUCAUACUAUCAUUUGUAGCUAGUCCAACACGGCCACAACUCGUAAUGUAUAACUAUAAGUGGGAAAGCACUGUAUCAAUGAACUGUCUUUCUUAAAACAUGAAUACAUAUGGGCCGUCCAGGCCUCUGACAUACUGUACAAAAUGAACCGCUAUCUACAAAUCCUCUAAGAGUAUUUGACAUCAAAUGGGACAAGGUACCAGCCUACCCAUAAGCCUGUAGCAAAAUUCUGACACAAUGAUUCAUAGACUCGGUUGCACUCCAAAUGAUGUGGAGUCUUACCGAUCCUUCGCUGAAUGCUAACCUCGUCUACUAUGAGAGCUCGUCAAACUGAUUGUCUAUACCUACAAGCAUGAAUGCAGCGUCCUCAACAAAAGGAUAUCAGUACAAAUAAUGUACCAAGUAUGUAAGACACAUAAUAAGUAUAUAAAAGACAUGGAAGAAACAUGGAAUAAAUGACUCAACCUGUAAGUCUGGAUAACUCUGUAAAUCAUGAAAUACCUAUAGUGUCGUGCAUAGGUACAUAUGUUCAUAACAUCAUCAAUCCUCUGAGGCAUCCCAUCAUAUCAUCUCGGCCACUAUGGGCAAAAUUAUCAACGUAUACCAGCUGAUCAGGUGGUGGUGCGUAUAUAACGUCGUAACCUUUUCCCAUAUUCCCNNNNNNNNNNNNNNNNNNNNNNNNNNNNNNNNNNNNNNNNNNNNNNNNNNNNNNNNNNNNNNNNNNNNNNNNNNNNNNNNNNNNNNNNNNNNNNNNNNNNNNNNNNNNNNNNNNNNNNNNNNNNNNNNNNNNNNNNNNNNNNNNNNNNNNNNNNNNNNNNNNNNNNNNNNNNNNNNNNNNNNNNNNNNNNNNNNNNNNNNNNNNNNNNNNNNNNNNNNNNNNNNNNNNNNNNNNNNNNNNNNNNNNNNNNNNNNNNNNNNNNNNNNNNNNNNNNNNNNNNNNNNNNNNNNNNNNNNNNNNNNNNNNNNNNNNNNNNNNNNNNNNNNNNNNNNNNNNNNNNNNNNNNNNNNNNNNNNNNNNNNNNNNNNNNNNNNNNNNNNNNNNNNNNNNNNNNNNNNNNNNNNNNNNNNNNNNNNNNNNNNNNNNNNNNNNNNNNNNNNNNNNNNNNNNNNNNNNNNNNNNNNNNNNNNNNNNNNNNNNNNNNNNNNNNNNNNNNNNNNNNNNNNNNNNNNNNNNNNNNUAUAUAUAUAUAUAUAUAUAUAUAUAUAUAUAUAUAUAUAUGCAUAUAUAACGUCAUUAUUCAUGGGUCAAUGUACAUGUAUAAAUGAAUGUAAUGCAUGAAAAAUACGUCAAUAAUACUUUUGGAGUGCCAUACAACCAUUAUGCCUUUGAUUAAUAUCAUGAAGUAAACUUUAUCAAUUUACGUAUUUUUGAGACCCAUGAACAGAUGAUAGAACAAUAGGAAACAUGGGGAAUCAAGAGCAUAGGCAUCUCUAGUAUUUCUAUGAAUAGAGUCAUUUAUGAAAAUUAUGCAUUUGUUCAUUUCGUUUGUAUCGUAUGGAUCAUGCCAAAAGAAAGAAGGAAUAGCUUUAACAUACCUGAAUAGAUUCUCUUUUGCGAAACACAUAAUGGCAGAUCGAAGUAGCGAAAAAUCCAUAUGAUAUUCUUGAGAAAGAUUGUACCGGGAUUUCUUUGAAUUAGCAUUUUAUUUUGGACCUUGUAGGGGUUCAUAAGAAUCCCUUCAGACAAUUCCAUCAUCCAUUACUAAGUAAACAUUGUUAUUUCUCUUUAUUUUGAUGUAGGAAGAUGACUUCUUUUAUCGAAGAGAGUGGGACCCACUUGUGAUGACUAAGCCACAAAAAUUCUUCCAAAACGUGCCACCUUACCAUAUACUUAAGAGUCACUAAUUUGAACAUAAUUUGCUGCCACGUUUGGGACACCUUAAGCUCAUCCAAAGACCUUAGUUAACUAUCCACAAUUCUUUAAUCAAUUUGUUAAUCUCCCUUUAACUAAUAAUUAACAAAUUAUACAUAUAAUUAAAAAUUAUCUCAAAUUACUUAAAAUACUACUCACUUUUAAUAUAUUUUAUGUACCCUAUCAUGAUCAUGUGGCACAUUUGUAUGGCACUAGUCCAUAAAUGUCGGGUAUUGUAGCUCAGACCGUAUUUUAUCCCAAAAUUGCAACCUUCAAAGAAACUCAUUCUCUUUGGUUCAUUUACCCUUUAAUCUUCACGGCACUUACUUAUCGCCUGAUAUAAAUAGCAUAAAUGCUUAUAAGCUCAAAAAUAAUCUCAUUCCCAAGUCUGCAUCGAUUAACUUACGACGAAACUUUUACAUACGAAGAUGCGGGAUUGGGAUGUAACAUCUCAUUUCUGAGCUUAUAUCAAUUCACUUAUGGCGUACUUUCACGUACAAAAAUAUGGGUUGUAACAGUCCCAUAUUAAAUGAACCUUACUGCCUCCAGCUCUUCCACAUUUGUGGUCAUAGGGCCAUAUCUGCGGACAAGGGUCCGCUUCUGCGGAAGUUGCCCUAGGCCAGCUGGGUUGCAUCUGCGGUCGGGUAACCACUUCUGCGGUCCCGCUUCUGAGGAGAAGGGGCCGCAUCUGCAGAACCUGGGCUGUCCUUCCUUGGUCACUUCUGCGAUGCUUAGCCCUCACUUGCGAUCUCGCACCUGCGGCUGACCAACCGCAAGUGCGUUUAUGAUAGAUCUGGUGCACUUCAGUAGUGGUUCCAAAUUUCCAACUUGGUCCGAGCCUCGUCCAAUUGGUAUUUGGGGCCCCGCCUGAACAUACCAACAAGUUUGGAAUCAUAAAACGGACUCGCACGAACUCACAAAAUGCCUGAAUCAACAUUAAAACUAAGAAUCACACCCUAAAACCAAUUGAAUCAAACUUAAGAACUUCAAGUUCUUCAAUUUACUUCCAAUGCGCCGAAACGUACUUAUACUACUUGGAAUGAUACCAAAUUUUACGGGCAAGUCUUAAAUGACAUUACGGAACUUUUCCUGAUCUUGUAAUUCCAUUCGAACAUCAAUAUCACCAAAACCUACUCCAAACCAAAUUUAAAGAAUUUCUAAAACCUUCAAGAACCAACUUUCGCUAUUAGGUGCUGAAAUGCUCUCGGGUCAUCCAAAACCCGAUCCAAGCAUACACCAAAGUCUUAAAUCAUUUAAGAACCUAUGGGAAUCUCAGAUCCUGAUUCUGAGGUCGUUUGCUCAAAAUAUUGACCGAAUUCAAACUUGGUCUUUUAAGCCAAUCUUAAAAACCAAUUGUUCCGAUUUCAAUCUCCAAAUCCAGAACCAACCAUCCCCGGGAGUCAUAAAUCAGUAAAAGCAUACGGGAAGUCUUAUUUAGGGGAACAGGGUUUUAAAAAGCAAAAUGACUGGUCGGGUCGUUACAAUUUGAGCUUAGAAUAAGUGUUAUAGUUGGCUUUUGUUUAUUAUCUGAUUUUUACGUGUUUGAGCUUAAUGUGCUAAAUACCGUUUUUACCGCUUUGAUAUUGUUUGAAUUGUAAAUAAAACUGUUACGAAACCCUUCUUCUCUUUGAGUCUUCUAAAUCUUUUAGGAAGUGCACACUGGCGUGGCUUCUUUUGUGUUAGUGUCAUACCCUAAUUUGGAACGAGGAUCAGAUCAGUUUCAAAGACGGAUGAUCUUUGGUUACCGGUACGUUUCCCCCCUUAGAUCAAGUUGUACACUCAAGUAAGUCAGGUCUAGAACAAUACACCCAGGUUUUAAACCUAGAAUAACAUAGCCUCAUGACGGAUCCCUAGUAGGUACGUUUGUUUGCAUCACAUGCAUUUGACUUUUGGGACUCAACACAGGGAUUGGGUCCUUCUAGGAAAUGUGUACCCAAAUUAAAAAGACCAUCCUGCUGCAUCACACGUGUUACUUGCGCAUUUGUUUGUUUCGGCUUGCAUGUUGACUGACUUCUAGAAUAGGGAAAGAAAAUUAAAAAAACGAAAAAAAGAAGGGUGAGAGGUAGGUUUUUGAAAUCCAAAACUUUGUCAAAAUUUUGAAAAAAAAAAGAGAAAAGAAAAUAAGACAAUAUUUUUAAAAAGUCAUGUUUCCCUGUUCCGUCAAAACUGACCAAACUAUGCGGGUCUGAUUCUUACCGAAUGUAAGAUACGUAGGCAAACCUCAUCAGUUCCAGCCCAUAAUUUUCAAAAAAAUCCAAAAAUAUUUUUCUUUACUUCCUUCUGUAGAAAGUUUUACUUUUAGACCCCCAAUUUUUUUAAAAAUACAAAAAUAUUUUCUUUAAUUUCUUCUCAAAAUCCAAAAAUAUUUUUAUUUUUCUUUCGAAAAUUGAAAAAACAAUUCAAGAUUCAAAAAUAUUUUCUCUUUUCUUUAGAAGUAUUUCUCUCAUAAAUUCGAAAUAAAAGUCAAAAAAUCCAAAAAUAUUUCCGUUCUUCUUUAGAAGUUUUUCUUUUGAAAUUCCAGAAAAAAAGUCGAAAUUCAAAAAAAAUAUAUUUUUUCUUUCUUCUUUAGAAGUCUUUCUUUUCAAAAUUCUUAAAAAAAACAAGCAAAUCAAAAUUCAAAAAUAUUGUGUUUUUCUUUAUAACUCUUUCUUUCGAAUUUUUUUUUAAAAAAAAUUCAAAAUCCACAAAAAAGAAUUAGUUUAUUUUCUUUAUUCCUGAUCUUCCCGAACUACGCAAGAUCUGAUUUAUGUUUCCACAUGAUACGUAGGCAACCCAUAUCAUGUUUGAUCAACCAUUAAAAAAAAGAAGAGAAAAAUGAAAAAUGAAUAAAAAGGACCGACUCAAUCCAUUCUAACGUGUCCCUUGUUUUGAAUUGUGAAGAAAGUUUGAGGUGGUCGGUUUGUGGUAAGCUGACAAUACAAGAUCAAGGAAAAAAGACAACUGACAUCAAAACUGUUAUGAAGACUCAAGAGACUCACGGUCAGAGGGUUCAACAGGAGUCUACUGUAGUUGAGGAAAAUAGAAUAGUGAAACAGUAAAUGACUGACACAUGCCAAACAUGCGCCAAUGGCCAAGGACCGCCCUUUCUAUUCCUGGUUUCCCAGAGUUCACACCCAUCUUGACUACUACCACUCCGGUCUUAUUGUCUGAUCAGUCCUAUCCACCUUGGUUUAGUUAAUAUCCCAACUGUACGACAAUAAUUAGAACUUCUAUUGCACACUCCCAAAGUGUGCCAUUGACGACCAAUCAGACAACCACUACUAUUAUGCCCAUCUUCACCAUCCCACAACUGACGAUGGUACAGAGGAGCACUCAUAAGUCUCAAUCUGCUACCAGAAAGAACAGUACCACUCUACUCGUACCUAUUUAAUCUUCCUACAAAGAUUGAGAAUCCUGCCCGAAAGAUGACAUAGGAAGAAAUGGCCCAAAAAAUAAAAAGAUUAGUACAACAACUGAAAAACAUGAAAAGGUUGGCAGGUCAGAAGAGUAUCUCCUUCAAGGAUCUAUGUAUGUUCCCCGAUAUCCAUUUGUCACUUGGUUUCAAGACCCCCAAAUUUGAAAAGUAUGAUUGACACGGCGACCCCAUAGCCCACUUGAAAAGGUAUUGCAAUCAACUAAAAGGUGUGGGAGGAAAUAAAGAAUUACUAAUGGCUUAUUUUGGGGAAAGACUUACGGGGGUAGCCUCUGAAUGGUUUAUUGAUCAAGAUACCUCUCACUGGCAUGUCUAGGAUAACAUGGCCCGGGACUUUGUUAGACAAUUCCAAUACAAUAUCGACAUUGCCCUAGACCGCAAUUCCCUUUCAAACCUGAAGAAGAAACUAACUGAAAGUUUCAGGUAAUAUGCCAUUAAAUGGAUAGAGCAAGCGGCUAGAGUUAAGCCACCCAUGGAUGACCACGAGCUUAUCACUGUCUUCCUUCAGGCUCAAGAGCCAGAUUAUUUUCAAAACAUGAUGUCUGUAGUGGGCAAAUCUUUCUCGGAAACAAUCAAAAUUGGGGAAACGAUUGAGAAUGGCCUUAAGACAGGCAGAAUUAUAAGUCAAGCAGUUCUCAAAGCCACAACUCAGGCUGUUCAGAUUGAAUCUAUUAAUUUUAGUGACACGAUGAGAAGGAUAAAGAAAUUAUGAUGACAUCAGGGUCGAGAAAAAGUCCUAGGAGAACAUCUCGAAGGUAUGAACAACCUCCCUUGAGCACUACUAUCUACUUUAGAACCCACAAUACUCUAUUGAUCCACCUCGGUAUGUUCUCCAACUACCAAGACUCCCAAAAAGGCGAGCACCAGCACCACAAAAUCUCCACCAGCCUCAACAAAAUUUUUAAGUGCCCUAUAACCCACAUCUAAGGCAGGGGUAUAGAGGGGAACAAAGGUUGAAAGAUAAUUUUACACCAUAGGAGAGUCCUAUGCAAGCUUGUUUGAGAAAUUAAAGCAUUAUGACAUGAUUGCAUAUAUUCUUUCAAAUUAUGUGGACCUAUGUGCAAGAAGCUUUAACCCUUCUAAAAGGUGUGAAUACCAUUCCAAUGCCCAGGGGCACAAUGUCGAAAGUUGUUAGGAUUUGAAAAGAGAAAUAGAAAGGAUGAUCUAGGAAAACCUUAUUAUGAUCCAAGACAGUGACACCCAGAAUAUCGCGGAGAAUCCUUUGUCUGCACAUGAUGAUGCACACUUUGAUGGGAUGACACGAGGUGACACAGAGUAUAAGAAUCCUUUCGGGAACUUGUCGAUUGAAGCUAAUGAGUUUGAAAUUAGAGAAGGCCCUAGUGAUUCAGAUGAGCAAAUUUGUGGUUAAAUGUCAAGCUUAGCAAUUGAAAAGUCAUUCCCUCCUCACUAGGAAAGAAUCUUGGUAGCUUCUUUUGAUGUUUUUUCUAUUAUCUGGGUUAUUUCAGGGUUGUGAUCCAAAUUUUAUAUGUUUUAUUGAGUCAAACCCUUCUAUUCAUUUGUCUUGUCUGUUUGAGUCUUGUCUUUUGUUCUAUUGCUAUUUUCAUUAUCUGAGUUAUUUUAGGGUUGUAACUCGAAUUUUAGGUGGUUUGUCUUGUUGUUCAACCUUCACAUCCUUUACUCAAUGAAAUACAGUUUGUCAUUUUAUGUCAUUCUGUGCUUAAUCCUUUUCCUGCUAGUUCUAGUGACACGAAAUACAUGCGGAAUUUUUGGCCAGAUAUCAGAAAAUUGAUUUAAGCUUUUAUUGGAUAAUUGAGAAAAAGACACUUUUGAGGAUGAAAAAGAGUUGAAAUACUUUGGAAUUAAGCUCAAGUAAAAUUCACUCUAGAAUAGUCAUACCCGUAGUGGUUAAGGAUAUCUACUUUUGAAUCAUUGCGAAGAUAGGAUUUGAGGAAGAAUCAAUGGAAGUUUGGUGGAAAGUUUGAGAUUAAUGGACGGAAAGUGUUCUUCGACCACGACACAGAGAUAGACAUGUUCAUCAAUAUUGUGAUCACAAAAGUAUAUUAUGUUUGGCGCUCUCAAGGCUGGGAGGCCCUUUUUCUGCUAUCUAAACACUUUAUACCUUUCGUUACCCCUUUUGAGCUUAUGUUAUUUUCUUUGUCCACCCUCUUUAGAAAUCAAGUUUCGAGUUAAUAGUCAAAAAAUGAAGGAAACAAAAUGGAAAAAAAAUGAUGAAAAGAAAGGUCCAUGCCCCAAGAGUACAAACUGGGGCAACUCUUAGAAAGUUCAAAUAAUAAAAAAAGAAGAAAGAACAAUCAAAGGUCCAUGCCCCCAGAAAAUAGAAGCUGGUGCAAUUCGUUUUAAAAAAAUAGAAAAAGAAACAGAAAUAAAUAUGUAAAAAAAAUAGUUAGGUUAGAUGUUUGAACUACAUUUGACAUGAUUCCUUAAAAAAAGAUACGUAGGCAACCUUACACGGUUCGAUCAACCCAAAUAAGAUUUUUUUAAAAUAAAAGAGAAAAAGAGAGAGUUCAGUAUCUAAAACUGGGGCAUGAGUUUGUUUUAGUUUCUUGAAAGAGUCGAUUCCAAAAGUUGUAAGUCUACAACUUCUCAUUUUAAAUCUACUUUGAGCCUCAUGCCGACCUUUUUUUUCUAACCUUAUCCAAAACCUUUGAAAUAAAUACCUCCCGAUAUGCCUUAAAGAAUGCCAAGAGAUGCCAAGAGAUGCAUGUAAUGAGUAGCAGUUGUCACACGACAUAGAACACUGUCAAGUUUCUCACAAAAGAAAAAGAAGGGGAAAGAAAAAGAAAGAGUUGUUGAUACCCAAUGUUUCCCUCAUAUAUUUUAAAUAUGCAUAUAUACCUGCAAAAUAGUGCAUGAGCAACACCAAAUAUUUUUCCAUAAUUAUCUAUAAUGUUUAAAGGCUUCUAAUCAAUUUAUUCUGUAUUGUUUAUAUAAAUAAUUAUUAACUACAUCAUAAAUAAUUUUAUAAUAAUUUAUUAUAUAAUUUUUCAUCAUUUAUAUCCAUAUUAAGCUUUAAAUAUUUUUAUAUUUAUUUAUUUUUGCAUCCUUAAGCUAAAAUUGCAUAUUUUGCAAUAAUAGUCAUAUAUAUGCAUAUACACAUUAUUUACAUAAAAAAAAAUUAUAUUUUUAUAAUGUUAAGCAAUUAUUUUAAAUCAUUUUCAUGUACAAGUGACAUUUUUUAUUUAUAAAUUAUUUACUGAUUUAAUUGGGUAUUUAAAAUCUAGCCAUUUUUCUUAAUUAAUUUCGGACCUAUACACUACCCAUUACCCAGUCCAAUACAUGUUAACCCACACCCAUUUCCAUUUUAAAAAUCAACGGCUCACAACACUACCCAUCCGUCCAAACCCUAAAUCACUUUACCUCAACCCGUCGUCUCUAUACAAUCCGUCUCCUUCAUCUUCUUCCUCUCAAAACUCUAGCGUCGUCUCCUUCACCUGUUACCUUAUUGAGCCUUCCUCGCUAUUGGCUACUCAUUUGUGGUGUUACAUAAUUGCUUGCCUAACAUGGCAAGAAGAUCUCUCUUAUUGUGAACCAAAUCUGGUUCAGAUCUUUGCUCCUUUCCAUCUAUGUUCCUCAACUUUCCUAUGUGAGAGCGCAUAUUUUCAUAUCUUCUGUUGAUUCGUACCUAACCUAAAGUUAGGGUUUUCAUACCUUUGAUUCCAACCAGAUUUGGUUCAGCUUUAGUUUGUUUUAAUGUUAUUUUUCGUCUGUAUUCACUUUGUUACUCAUAAAUCUACCUAUUUUCCGUUAAAUCUUUUACUUACCUAAACUAGGGUUUUAACCUUCUUUAAUCGAACCAGAUUUGGUUCAAGUCUUAUGUUUUCAUUAAUAACUCUUUAUCUAGGUUCUUUUAUUAAAACAAACGAUCCUUUGCCUUUGUUGCUCUAUCAAUUUGUGUUUACUUAAAAUUAGGUUUUUUCAGAUCUUAAUUGAUUCUAUUAUCUUUUAAAACUCAUGUCUAGGUUCACUAUGUGAUAUUGUGCUGAUUGUAUGAUUUGCCUUUUGAAUAUUCUCUUGUCUACCUUAUUUUACUUGGCUGAUUUUGUGGUUUACCCAAAAAUUAGGGUUUUGAAAUCUUUUACUGAGAUUUUAAUCUUUCCUUUCUUGUAUGGUACUGAUGCUUCCUUUUUGCUCGACUUACGCUAUUUCCAUUACUUUCUUACCUUAGUUGAUCCGACAUUUGACUGUUGAUUGAUUUUAUAUAAUACCUACCUUAAUCUAAGAAGUACUUGCCUGAUUACACGUUGUUAAGUCCUGCUAAUUGAUUGAACUCGAUUUUAAAUUGAUUCUAGAAUUAUUUUCAUUCUUUAUUUGUGUAUGUUUGAUUUAUUCCCUUAUUUGUUUGCCUAAUUGAGUACUAUUUAAACCCUUUCUCCUUCUCCCUUUUGGGGACAGACUCGAACUCUCAUACUCUCACUAAAAACUUAAGCUCUUUUAUUCUUAUUCUACGCUGAUUGUCUCUGGUUUUGGCCGGCUGAAAGCCAAGGCCAAGUUAUUUUGAAACUUAACUAUUAUGGCAUAUUUACUUGCAUUCUUACUUAACUGGUAUGCCCUAAUCCUUUGUAAUUUUAUUCUCUAUGCUUUGCUCGACUAGCAUGUUUUAAUUCCAAGUAUGAUUCUGUCAUUUUUUAUGCGAUUCUAUGAUCUCAUCUAGUUCUAUGAGUGACACUGUUAACUUAGGAUUAAGCUAUUUUGAAUAACACGAAUCCUCUUAUAAGUUAGCCUAAUGUCUAAAUUUGUUUCAUGCACUAUUUGUUAAUCUUACACUUGUUCUGAACUUAGUAUCCCUAUAAUACUAUUAGCAUGAAGUUGGUUCAUUAAUCCUAACUCUACGGAUUUUCGUAUGGUUACUUAAUUCAUGUGUCUGGCCAGCUUAACUGUUUUGUCUAAUUGUUUCUGUGAUUAAACAAUGAUUCUGAUAGGUACUAGCAUGAAUAUUUAGCUUAACUAGGCUUUUAACUUACUUGAACUAUGUGUUUGAUCAUAACCUUGUUUGGUGCAGUUCUGCUUACAACUCUGUGUUCUAAAUCUUGUUUUUUCUGAAAUCAAACUUUUUAAAACCUGUCCCUACCUCUUUUUUAUGUACUGAUUUUAAAGCCCCCACUCUUAGUCCCUUAGGUUCUUAACCACUCCAGUGUGAGCACUGCUCACGGUCCACAUGAGACUCCUUUGAACUCUGGCACAAUGGAGACUGGUUUUCCAAUCUCUUAUGAGCUAUCUUCUGAAUGUAUGGUUCUGGUGUGAGCAUUGCCCUAGGUCCCUGAGGCCCUUGGGAAAUUUGACACACUAGAAACCUGGUUCUAAUGUGCUAUGUAUGAAUCACUAUAUUGUGCCUCAAAGUUGUUAUGGUUGGAAGGCUUGGUUCCCAGGUUUAUUUGGGCCUAAUGAAGGCUCCCUAUAGUGUCUCAUUACUAUUAUGUAAUUCAUUUGCUAUUCUGGUCUGUAAUAACUUUGCAAUAACAGAUUUGGGGAUAUUUAGUAAAGCUGGGGGUUUUCUUAUUUCCUUUUGCUAAACUGGGUAGAAAUCCUGCCUAUAGGAUUUAGUUAUGUUGUCAAUUCUGUUCAUUUGGUAAAAACUCUAUGAGUUCUAUAUUGUGCUUAGAAAUCCUACUUAUAGGAUUUUCAUUGAUGGUGUUAAUUAUGUGUUUGCAUAUUAGAAGUCCUGCCUAUAGGGUUGGCAUUAAAAUGUACAUUAGAAAUCCUGCUCAUAGGAUCUAUCAAUCCAACAAAUGUGCAUUAGCAAUCAUGCUUAUAGGACCUCGAUGUUUGAUUUGAUCGAUUUUCUGGUAAUCUGCAUAAUUUUUUACCGUAUUACUGCUCAAUAGAUACCAUACCUAUUGGACUAAAAUUGGUUUCGAAUCUAGAAAUCAUGCCUAUAGGAUUUAAAUCAAUUUAGAAGUAGAUACCAUGCCUAUAGGAUAAAAGAUCAGUUUCAAACCUAGAGACCGUGCCUAUAGGAUUAAAACCAGCUUCAAAUCCUAGAUAUCAUGCCUAUAUGAUUUAAAUCAGUUCAAUAUUAGAAAUCAUGCCGAUAGGAUUCUAUCAACUGGUUCUGUCAUCACUUAGACAAUAUGCCUAUAAGACUUAAUAACAAUUGUAGAUCUGUAACUGUGAUUCAUUAUGGUUUGAAGUGCCCAGAUGAUAUUCAUUAAAAUUUGUAGGCAAAUAAUAGGUCCAACUACCCGCCUUAAUGAAGUUGCUUCUACAUAAAACUGCUCGCUUAUUUUCUCACAUAGAUAUCAUGUCUAUAGGAUUCUGCAGAUUAAUAAAACCUGCUAAUUAAUUGUGUGCAUUUGCUAUUUAUGUGCGGAGGUUAACAUGAGCCCAUAUUUGCUUUAUACUUACAAGUCCUAACAUUUGUUUGUCGCCCAGUCCUUUUACAUUUUUGAGAAACCUAGCUUAGUCUAGAACUAUCCCAAAUAGAGUUCCUAAUACCUCCAAGGCCAUAGGUAAGGGACGGGUAGUGCACGCAUAGGAAUCGGACUAGAAUCAAUUAGAGCGCUUUAGAUAACAACUUAAAGAUAGUAAUCGGGUAGCAAAAGAUGAUAGUCUAUGCCCGCUGAAUAAUACGAGUAACACCCUAACUUGAGGGAGUUACGAAGUAUUAUUUAUGUUACAUGGGGUGAUCCUUUAGUCUAAAAUAUUUAGGACCCCCCAUCCCUAUUAAAUCUUCCUCUCGCUUUUUAUUAUAUUAAUUCAUAAGUUAAGUUCGGCCGAGACCCACCAUUGUAGACCUCAAGGGGUGCCUAACACCUUUCCCUCAAGGUAAUUUCGAGCCCUUACCCGAUCUCUGGUGAUGUAAACUAGUAACAUGAGUUAUCUGCUUUAGGUGCCCUAACGCACCUUAAUCCGUUAGGUGGCGACUCUUUCAAUUCUAAUUCCUUGCCUUCUCAAAAGGAGUUGUCCCAGAAAUGUCGAAACCCUAUUUCUCGAGAAAAAGGGGGUGCGACAGCAUGGCAACUCUGCUGGGGAUAUCUUUAGGAUCUUACCAUAACGAACUUGUUUGUGAAUUAGUCUUAAGCAUAUCUUUAUUAUUCCGUUAAUACUUGUGCACCCUUUCCCCUUCCCACUCUAUGUGAAUUUAUUUGCCUAUCUUCAUUCAUUCAUGAUUUCUAUUCCCUACUUUAUCACUUUUUACUAAGGCAACUGACUUAUCUCCUUGGUUUUUUCUUUCUUAAAUGUCUUUACAAUUAUUAAAUACCAUAUUUUAUCAUUAUUCAUCGUGCAAAUACUUGACAACAUGUUAUUUUCUUUUGCAUAAAUACAUGUUCAACAUCACAUUCCACUCAUGCGUACUAAUACCAUAGCGGCGCUUGAUGCGAAUCCGCGCUCUUUCUAAAAUCACCCUUUAAAUUUGGAAAGACUUAUUUGCAGUAAAACUAGUCGAUCAGCGGUGCAGUCGACGAUUCUGUGCUUUUCCCUCUCAAGUUGUUCGCUUGAUGAUACUAGUCUAGACUUCUAUAGAAACAUUACUCUGAUAAUAACUGUACAUGCAUCAUGAUCAAACCUAGUCUGGGUUAAUAUGUUGUCCGCAUAAUAACCCUCUAAGAUAACCUUAGCCGAAGUCCACCAGGAUUUCCAUAAUCCCAAUGGGUACAACCACGAUAUGUGCAUCAUUUGGAGAGAUAAAUGCCGACAUGCUAAUCAUUAAUGUGUAAGUAGUCGAAUCCGGAGGGGGAAAUGGUCUAACUCUAUUUAUUUUUGCAGAAAAUGAGGCACAAAGUUCCCAGGUUCGGCAUGGUCCAAAGUAUGCGACCGUUAUUGAUAGAUUGGUGGGAAAACCAUUCGCCAAGUGACAAAAAUCACGUGAAAAGGGUUCUUGGAAAUUUACCUUCCUUAUUGGACAUCCAACCUAACAGCAUGCUGAUCGAGGCUGCUACUAUGUUCGGGGACGGAGAAAGAGUUGUAUUCUGCUUUGGCAGUAAAGAAAUGACUCCUCUUUUGGAGGAAAUAGGAGGAUUUGCUGGAUUACCAUGGGAUAGUCCCGGUUUACUAGUACUAGAAAACCGCACUAUCAGGGGAUUUCUAAAGAUGAUGGGUCUGAGAAAGAAUGACGACUUGGAAUGCCUGAAGAAGUCCUACAUACCUUUCGACUUCCUCUAUGAACGAUACAAACACAGCAAAUCUUAUUGUAUCUUCCAUGACGAAUUCUCCAUCAUCUCCCUAGGUUGGACUCAUCGUAGGGUUUUUGUAUUCAUCAUCUACUUUUUGGGUAUGAUAGUGUUAGCCAAGGGGACAGAAUUCACACCAGGUUGGCCAUGGUAACCAGAGCUUUAACGGAGGGAAUCGAGGGACAAACCUAUACUAUUGUUCGGAUGAUUGUAGCAGACAUAUACCGGGAUCUGGAUCAUUGCAAGAAAGGGUUCAAACAUUUUGAGGGUUGUAACUUGCUACUGUAGAUUUGGUUGUUAGAACAUCUUCAGAGGGGCCAAUACCGCCAAGAGUUUCCACAGAGACCAUGGAAUGAUCACAUAGCUUUCCACCCUCCUAAAAGAAUGACCUUUAUCCCAGACAGAUUUGCACAGCCAGAGAAUGCUACAGAAUGGGCAGAGCUUUUCAGCAAUUUGAUCGAGGACCAGGUUCACUGGAUGUUCGAGUGGUUCCCUACUAAUGAAUUCAUCAACAAACCCAGGGAUGUUACGCAUUUUGUGUUGAUUAGGCUAAGGGGAAUACAUCCAUAUGUUCCUAUCAGGGUCAUGAGACAAGCUGGUAGAAAACAAGUCAUAUCACAAGUCUCCAAAAUGAGUCAUUACAGAGCAGAUUUUUAGGAUGACGCCAUUCCAUACAAAUGUAAGGUCCAACACAUGUGGCAUUUGAAGAUUAUCGUGGAAAAGGAUACCAUCAAGCCAUAUUGAUAUCACGUACGUCAUGUGUACUUCUACCCAUCAUAGUUAGAAGAUAACAUAGCAGGAAUAGUCGAGCUAGGGAUUGGUCAAGGAAACAGAGUCAUAGAUGAGGUUGUUAAUGCAUAAGUGAAGUAUGAGAGGCUAUGCAAAAGAAUCCUUGAGUCCGAAGCCAUGCAUUUGGAACAACACAAGUUGGACAUGGAGUCAAUUAACGAGUGGAGGGAAAUGGCUACAAGGUCGACAGAAAGGUUGGAACAUUUGGAGCAGGGUCUAAUGGAAUUGGAAGGGAAUAUGAGGAAAAAGGACGUAGACUGUCAAAAUGCAGAGGGCAAUGAGGGAGGACAACUAGCAAGGGCGUACCUACUGCUGGACAUGCAUAACCUAGGGAAUCUAAUUGAUGGAGCCAAGAGGGUCAAAUAUGGGGAAGGUCCCUCUGGGACAAGUAGAUUAGGUUUAUCUGUUUUUAGUCGUUUUGGAAUUCGAAUGUAAUAAGGCAGAUGCCAUUAGUAACUCAUUUAUUUAUUGACAUUUUUAGGUUCGUCUUAUUUAUUACAUUAAUGAAAUGAUGCAUUUAUAGGCAUUAAAUCUCUCCAACUCUACUUAUCGCUACGCUUACCUCGGGCACAACGAGGUUCCCCAAAUUAGGACGUGAAUUUACAUUCUCGCAAUACGUGAUUAAAUACUGCAAAUGCUUUUUAGAAUCCUUACUGACUUGUUUACCUUUUUGCACUUUUCUUUAUUUUGAUUAUUCACAUCCCCUAAGGUUGGUUCGCACAUACUGGCAUCGUUAGCAUAUCACACCAGAUCUAGAGGUCCUCCACCUCCUCCUCCUCCUCCUCCUCCAAGUAAUCUGAAAGGCAAGGAAAAUCUAAGAUGGAUGAUAUUAGUGGUAUCCGGAAAGAAAAUGUUGCGCACAUGGAGAAUAUUGAAACUUCAGACGGUCAGAGUACUCCGACCCAGAAUGAUUUGGUCCUAUGGUUGGAACAGAAAAUACUGGAAUUGCAAGGGGAACUUGAGCAGGUUCGCAACUUGGUAAACCUCUCCUCACCCUAAAUGUCACAGACAUUAACCAACAAAAUUCUCAAAACCCAGCACCUCCUCAUAACACACCAAACCAACGUCCACAAAAUCCUUCCGCACCCCCAUCAAAUACACAACACCUCCCCAAAACCCUAAUCCUCAACCAAUACCCAUUCCUCCUCAACACCAACAUCUUCCUACUCAAUACCCACAAACCACUUACUAUACUCCUCAGAAUACCCUACAACCAAUCCUUGAUCCGCAAAAUUCAACUAAUGAUCACCACUACACUCCAACCUCCAGCACCCACCAAAAAAACCCAUAUACGUGGAAACUUUACCCCACUCUACUCAGCCAAUCUCAUACACUCUAGAAUCUGCCGAGAAAUAUCUACUCAUUAAAAGGAGGAGCUCAAGAAGCUCACAAGUCGCAUCCAGGGUGUCGAAGCAGGCAAAGGAAUUGAGGGUCUGAAUUAUGAAGAUCUAUGCAUCCAGCCAGACGUAAAACUGCCGGAAGGUUACAAACCUCCCAAGUUUGAGAUAUUUGACGGAACGGGUGACCUGAAAGUACAUUUGAGGACAUACUGUGAUAAGCUCGUGGGAGUUGGGAAAGAUGAAAGAAUUCGCAUGGAACUAUUCAUGAGGAGUCUCACUAGAGACGCCCUAUCUUUGUAUAUCAGUCAGAAUCCCAAAGGUUAAUUGGGUAAGCAUGGCAUCGGACUUCAGGACCGAUUCAGGUUUAAUACAGAGAAUGCAACGGAUGUCUUCUACAUAUAGAACCUCAAGAAAAAACCAACAGAAACUUUCUGCGAGUAUGCUACUCGAUGAAGGUCAGAAGCUGCAAAGGUCAGGCUGGCACUAGCGGAAGAGCAGAUGAACAAAUUUUUUGCCAGGGCCUAGGAUCCAUAAUACUAUGAAAGGUUAAUGGUCAUCAAAAAUCACAAGUUCUCCGACAUCAUCAAACUCUGAGAAAGGAUUGAAGAAGGGAUCAAGAGUAGGAUGGUAACCAAUUUUGAGGCAUUGCAGGCUACGAACAAAGCAGGGGGUGUAUCAAAAAAGAAAAAAAUAGGGGCAGUGAUGGUGGCCCCAGGUCCAAAAUCUCCACUCACAUACAAAACACCUCCACCCACAUACCAACCUUCACCUCCCAGAUAUCCUCAAUCUGCUACUGCCUACCACACUUAUAACACCCAGCCAGCCUAUUACCAUUCAGCUCCAACCUGUCAAAAUUAUCAAAAACCCAGACCCAAUUUCAAUCGUAGGUCGCCCAGACAAUACACCCCUAUUUCUGAGCCCAUCGAGAAGCUAUAUGAAAGACUGAAGGCUGCCAGAUAUGUCACCCAUAUUCCUACUGUCACAAUGGAAAAUGCCUCCAAAUGGAUCAACCCGAACAAAACAUGUGCGUACUAUUCCGGCAUGAAAGAGCAUACUAUUGAUGAAUGCCGCACUCUAAAAGACAAGAUUCAGACCCUGAUUGAUACCAAAGUCAUACAAGGAAAGGAAGCCCCACCCAAUGUCCGCAACAAUCCCCUCCCAAAUCAUAGGGGUGAAGGAGUAAAUGUGAUAGAAAUUGAUGAAGAAUGGGAUUCUGAAGGGUCGAUUGGGCUUAUUCGGGAAGGUUAAUACCCUAAGCCUGUAGUCACACUCACUCAUAUUGUGGUAUAAAUACAGCUACCGACUGAAGUUAAAGUAGCCGCAUCAGUUCCAUUUGAAAUUGAAGUAACAGCACCUGCGACUACACCUACUCCAUUUGAAGUAGAAGUAGCCACGCCCUUCACUGUGAUAGUAGCAUCCACACCACCCUUCAAUUCCAACGACAUACCUUAGGAUUAUGUUGCCAAAGCUAGGAGAAAAGGAAAAGCAAAAAUGGAAGAGUUUGGUGCUACACAGGGGAUGACCAGAACUGGAAGGAUCUAUACACCCGAAAAUUUGGAAAGAACAAGCAAGGAAGCUGCUGCCAAACAACCCAUCAUUGAAACUGGUCCAGAUGAUCUUUAGAGGAAGGUACAGGAAAGAGAAUACUCUAUAGUUUAUCAUCUGAACAAGACUUUUGCUCAUAUUUCCAUUCUGUCACAGCUACAAAAUUUUGAGGCACAUAGGAAUGCUCUGAUGAAGGUGUUGAAUGAAGCGUACGUGCCCAACAACAUCACCAGUGGAGAAAUGGCCAACAUGGUAGGGCAAGUACUAGAAAGCCACAAGAUCACCUUCCACGAAGAUGAACUACCACCUAAAAUACUAAGUCACAACAGGGCACUGCACAUCAUAGUAUAGGUUGAGGAUAAAUUCAUCGCCAGAGUCCUAAUAGAAGGGGGUUCAAGCCUCAAUAUUUAUCAAUUGACUACUUUGAAAAGGUUGGGUAAAGUUUUCCAUGAGAUACGAGCAGGGAGUAUGAAUGUGAAGGCAUUUGAUGGGUCUCAAAGGGCCACAAUUGGGAAAGUUAACCUUUGUUUGCAGAUGAGCCCGACUUGGUCUGAUGUUGAGUUUCAAGUAUUAGACAUAUUUGCUACGUACAAUCUUUUACUGGGACGACCUUGGAUACAUGCCACUGGAGUUGUGGCUUCUACACUACAUCAGGCCGUCAAGUUCGAAUGGAACGAUUAGAAGGUAGUCAUUCACGGAGACGAAAGUAAUCUCAUUUACACCAGUCAAACUGUCCCGGUUAUCGAGAAUAGAAGAAAGUUGGGUGGAGAAACUUAUCACUGCAUCGAGCAUGUCAAUGCAAUUGAGAAAGAUAAAUUGUGGAGCAGCAAAAUAGAAAGCAUAUUGGCAUGGUUAGGGUAUGAACCCGGCAAAGGGCUUGGGAAGAAACUCCAGGGCAUCACCAAACCAAUACAGUUGAAACAUCAUGGUACAACUUUUAGGCUCGAAUAUCAGUAUACAUGGUAGAAAUAUGAUGAUUGGUUGCCCCCAUGGCGUGGUUCUUAUUACCCUCUUGAGUAGCCAGUGUCGCAUCUGAGUCAGACUUUUCACCAGUCCAACACAAUAUAGGGAUCUGAAGAAGAGGAAGCUUUAGCUGAGCUAAGGAACCUGUUUGUAGAAGACGAAGAUAUGGAUUGCAAUGUUCUAGUUAAGGAAGAGGAAGAAUAAGGCCUUACCAUUCAGAUGGUAGAGUGGGAAGCAUUUCUUAGGAACUGGACCGACAUGCCAUCAAGGGCCAGACGAGUCCCGGGGUAGCAUGGCUACUAAUGCUAUUUGAAAAAAAACAAGCCUUUUUGAGUAUUUAGUUUUUAAAAUAUCGUCCUUUCAGUAUUUUGUUUUGAAGUCAUUCAAACGAUAUUUUGUUUAACGUUUCAGCAUUUAUCAAAUAAUUUGAUGUUUUAUUAUCGUUAUCUUUCAUAUCUUUCUUCUACAACAUUACUAUUUCUUACCUUGAUGAACCAAUGACUGUGACAUGUAAUGAGACAACACAACAUAAGGAUAGUGACUCGGAAGAAAAGUAUGAGAUACCUGAGGAAGUUAUCAGAGAAGUUGAGAAUUUUGAGAACAAACUUAAGUCCAACCUGGAUGAAACCGAGACAAUCAAUUUAGUAGAUUCAGAAACCAUCAAAGAAACAUGCAUAGGUAUUCACCUAUCACCGUUAGAGAAGGAAGAAUACACUCAUUUCUUGAAAUAAUAUGAGGAUAUUUUUGCAUGGUCAUAUGAUGACAUGACCGGCCUGAGUACAUCCAUAGUGGCUCAUAAGUUGCCUACCAAUCCGAUGUGUCCGCCAGUGAAGCAGAAACUCAGAAAGUUCAAACUAGACAUGAGCCUAAAAAUCAAGGAGGAAGUCAUUAAGCAGAUCAAAGCCAAAUUCCUCAGGGUAGUUGAGUACCCAACCUGGUUAGCCAACAUUUUACCGGUUCCGAAGAAAGAUGGGAAAGUCAGGUUAUGUGUUGACUAUCGGGAUUUAAAUAGAGCAAGUCCCAAGGACGAUUUCCCUCUGCCAAAUAUAGACAUUCUGACCGAAAAUUACGCAAAGCUUGAACUCCAAUCCUUUGUAGAUUGCUUCGCGUAUUAUCAUCAGAUUUGGAUUGACGAAGAAGAUGUAGAAAAAACAGCUUUCAUUACACCAUGGGGAUGUAUGUGACGACCUGGCCGGUCGUCUUAAGAAUUAAUGCCCCGAUCCUNNNNNNNNNNNNNNNNNNNNNNNNNNNNNNNNNNNNNNNNNNNNNNNNNNNNNNNNNNNNNNNNNNNNNNNNNNNNNNNNNNNNNNNNNNNNNNNNNNNNNNNNNNNNNNNNNNNNNNNNNNNNNNNNNNNNNNNNNNNNNNNNNNNNNNNNNNNNNNNNNNNNNNNNNNNNNNNNNNNNNNNNNNNNNNNNNNNNNNNNNNNNNNNNNNNNNNNNNNNNNNNNNNNNNNNNNNNNNNNNNNNNNNNNNNNNNNNNNNNNNNNNNNNNNNNNNNNNNNNNNNNNNNNNNNNNNNNNNNNNNNNNNNNNNNNNNNNNNNNNNNNNNNNNNNNNNNNNNNNNNNNNNNNNNNNNNNNNNNNNNNNNNNNNNNNNNNNNNNNNNNNNNNNNNNNNNNNNNNNNNNNNNNNNNNNNNNNNNNNNNNNNNNNNNNNNNNNNNNNNNNNNNNNNNNNNNNNNNNNNNNNNNNNNNNNNNNNNNNNNNNNNNNNNNNNNNNNNNNNNNNNNNNNNNNNNNNNNNNNNNNNNNNNNNNNNNNNNNNNNNNNNNNNNNNNNNNNNNNNNNNNNNNNNNNNNNNNNNNNNNNNNNNNNNNNNNNNNNNNNNNNNNNNNNNNNNNNNNNNNNNNNNNNNNNNNNNNNNNNNNNNNNNNNNNNNNNNNNNNNNNNNNNNNNNNNNNNNNNNNNNNNNNNNNNNNNNNNNNNNNNNNNNNNNNNNNNNNNNNNNNNNNNNNACACUUAGUCCCUAAAUGAGAGCUUAAGUGUUGGAAAGUUGGACGAAGUUGGAACAGUGUGAAGAUAGCCUCGGAAUGGAAAUUUGAUAGUUAUGUUAGGUGAUUUCAGGCUUAGGGGCGUGUUCGGAUUGUGUUUUGGAGGUUUGUAGCUAAUUUAGGCUUGAAAUGCCGAAAGUUGAAUUUUUGAAGUUUCCGGUCCGAUAGUGAGAUUUUGAUCUGAGGGUCAGAAUGGAAUUCCGGAAGUUGGAGUAGCUCCAUAGUGUUGAAUGUGAUGUGUGUGCAAAAUUUCAGGUCAUUCAGAUGAGGUUUGAUAGACUUUUUGAUCGAAAGUGUAUUUUGAGAAUUUUGGAGUUCUUAGGCUUAAAUCCAUGGUUAAUUCGAGGUUUUGAUGUUGUUUUAGGUAUUUUAAGGAAUGGUACAAGUUUGGAUAGUGAGUUGUGACUUGUUGGUGCCUUUGGUUGAGGUCCCGAAGGCCUCGGGAUGAAUUCGGAUGGUUGACGGAAAGAGUUUGGAGUUACAGUUGCAGCUUCAAUUGCUGGUUCUAUCAUAACAGUACCUGAGGUUUGGGUUCUGCAAGCGCGACUCCACAGAAGCAGCUUAGUGGCCACAGAAGCGGAAUUGUUCAUUCCUUUAGGAACCGCAGAAGCAUUGGUAAUACCACAGAAGCGCUACUGCAUCUGUGGAUUGGGAGUCGCAAAUGCGGAAGCUGGCCCUUUAAUAAAAAGUCACAGAUGCGACCUUGUCUCCACAGAAGCGGGACCGCAGAUUCAGUCCCAGGGACGUAAAUGCGGAAAUCGCUGGGCAGAACAUAUAAAUUAUUGCCUUUGCGAGAUUUAGCCAUUUUUCAUCUUUUCAAAACGGGAAGAAGCUUGGGGAGCACUUUUCAAGAGGGAUUUUCAGAGGAGUUCAUUGAGGUAAGGUCUUUGGUCCCUAAACUCGUUAUUGGAGUGAUAUUUAUCAAUUUGAGCAUGAAAUGUUAAGGAAAAUCAGUGGUAAUUGGGGGGUUAGGGCUUGUCUAAUUGGAGACCUUUGAGUGAUGAUUUGAGGGACAAAUUGAGGUCCGAUUUUGGUACUUUUGAUAUGAUUGGACUCGUAAGAGUGCAAGGUUUCUGGAAAUAUAAAUUUUACCUGAUUCCGAGACAUGGGCCUGAGGGGCGUUUUGGUCAUUUUACAUAAUUCCGCGUAUUAGCUUAGGAUUUAAUUGUAGAAUCAGUUACUUGAAGUGUUAUUUAUAUUAUGCAAUUGAAUUGAAUAGAUUUGGGUCAUUUGGAGUCGAGUACUCAUGGCAAGAACGUGGUCUCGGGUUGAUUUUGAGCCGAUUUGAGGUAAGUGCCUUGUCUAACCUUGUGUGGGGAACCUUCCCCUUAGGAUUGGUAUAUUUGGUAAUUGAAAUGCCUUGUACGUGAGGUGAUGAGUGCGUAAUUGUGCUAAUUGUUGGAAAUCCGGUUUUCUUUAAGAAAUUACUAAUAUGUUUCCUUUCAUGUUUCUAUUACUCACUAUUAAGCCUGUUGUUAACUUAGGAAAGCAUGACUAAGUGACUUAAUUACUUUAUUUACUCAACCUGCCUUACCUGAAUUCUGUGCAACAUGCUAGGCUAGAAUCACUUGUUGCCUUAAUAUGAAGUUUUGCCCUUUCUGUUUAUUUUCUUGUUGCUGCUAUGUAUUUAUUUUGGGACUACGGAUGUGGGAUUCCGGUAGCUCCCCUUGUCUGUUUAUUUUGGGAAUACGGAUGUGGGAUUCCGUUAGAUCCCCCUGCACAGUUAUAUGGAACUACGGGAAUAUACCCGGUAGAUUCUCCCAGUACUAGGUAUUUACAUUUGGGACUACGGAACGAGAUUCUGGUAGAUCCCUGCACACUAUGAGUUGGACUACGGGAUGGGAUCCCGGGAGAUCCAUUGGAUAUGUACAUAUGGGACUACAGAACGGUAUCUUGGGAGAUCCCCGAUUGUUAUAAUUGGUGCUGAGCUGUAUCUCAUUUCUGUGUCUACCUUGCUUUUGUAUAGUUGUUGAUGUCGUGUAUAUCCUGUGUUAUUUUACUGCUGUACUUAUUUAUAUUGUUCUGUUCUAUACUGCUGAUAUUUAUAUUUUAUUUAACCUCAGUAGGGCCCUGACCUUCCUCGUCACUACCCAACCGAGGUUAGGCUUGGCACUUACUAAGUACCGUUGUGGUGUACUCAUGCCCCUUCUGCGCAUAUUUUUCAGGUGCAGAUCCAGGUACCGCUACUCAGUCCUACCAUCCUUGAGGGAGGCGACUGCUCUAGAGACUUCGAGGUACAUCUUCUGCGUCUGCAAACCAAGGAGUCCCUUUCUAUUCUAUAUGUUAAACAUUGUCCUUCUGUAUUUUCUUUAUUGUUAGAUAUUCUGGAGUUAGACUGUUAGAUAUUCCAAGGGCUUGUGUUUCCGUGAGUUUUCGGGUUUUGGGGAUAGUGUACUUGGUUUUGAGAAUGUUGUGUUGUAUAUACCGAGCGGUAUUAUAACUAUUGUUUCCAUUCAGUUAUUUUGGUUUUUGAUUAUUUCUUCCACAAGUUUCCUUUAUGUUCCACAUUUGUUAGGCUUAGCUAGUCGUAGAGACUAGGUGCCGUCAUGAUGGUUCACGGAGGGCGAACCGGAGUUGUGACAAGUUGGUAUCAGAACUCUAGGUUCAUAGGAGUCAUGGAUCACAAGCGGUUUAUUAGAGUCUCGAUGAUUGGUACGGAGACAUCUAUACUUAUCUACGAGAGGCUUUGUAACUGUUAGGAAAAUUUCACUUCAUUUGAUUUCCUUGUUGUGCGAUAUUUUGACAUCACAAUUCUAAACUUCUGUCUUCUAUUCUCUCACAGAUGGUGAGGACACACGCUACCUGAUAUGAUCAGGCACCCGCGCCCCCUACUGCAGCCGUCAGAGGCCCAGGCCGGGGUAUAGGCCGAGGACGCGCACAUGGUAUGGCUAGAUCACCUGUGCGAGCUACCGCCGAGGUACCACCAGUAGUUACAGCCGGAGUCCAGGCACCUGACACGCCUACUGCUACCACUACUCCAGCCCUUUAGGAGACUUUAGCACAGUUCAUGAGCAUGUACACCACUCUGGCUCAGGCAGGGUUGUUUUCCCUUGCUGCAGCUACAUCUCAGGCUGGGGGAGGAGCACAGACUCCCGCCGCCCACACUCUUGAUCAGUGAGUGCAUGUUGAGCAGGUCCUUGAGAUUAUUCCUAUACCGCUUGCAGUGCCAGUUCAGCCCGAGGAUAGGGCGACGGCUUCAGAGGAGGAGCAGCUGAGGCUUGAGAGGUUCAAGAGGUACAAGCCUCCUAUAUUCAGCGGUCUAGCAUUGAAGGAUGCUCUAGAAUUUCUAGAUGAGAGUUAUCGCAUUCUCUGUACCAUGGGUAUAUCAGGAUCGAGCGGGGUUUCCUUCACUACUUUCCAACUUCAAGGAGCCGCCUAUGAGUGGUGGCGCACCUAUGAGUUAGACAGUCCGGAUAAGGUUGUUUCACUAACUUGGACUCAGAUUUUAGAUGUGUUCCUGAGAGAGUAUGUUCCUCAAAGCCUUAGAGAUGCAUGGCGCGUAGAGUUUUGGCAUUUGCGCCAAGGUACUAUGAUUGUCUUAGAGUAUGUUGUCUGUUACACCAGUUUGGCUAGGCAUGCAUCAGCCUUGGUUUCUACUGUUCGCGAGAGGGUUCGCCGGUUUAUUGAGGGCCUUAUUCCUAGCAUCAGGUCUAGCAUGGCUCGUGAGUUGGAGAUAGAUAUUUCUUAUCAGUAGGUGGUGAGCAUUGCUAGGAGGAUUGAGGCUAUGCAUGCUAGGGAGAGAGAGGAGAGGUAGGCCAAGAGGUCUUGAGAGUCGGGCCAUUUCUCUGGUGCAUGUGCCCCAGCUGCAGGUCGUCAUGGUAGGGGUUAUAUAAGCCGCCAUGUUCAUUCAGCUCUUCCAGCAACCAGUGGUAUUACAGCUCCUUCUAGGCCUUAGGAGCCUUAUUAUGCACCACCGGAAUCUAGCACGCCUCCUGCACGGGGUGCUUUUAGAGGUCAGUCCAGUAGACCUGGCCUGAGCCAGCCACAACCACCACAUCCUCCUAGAGCUUGUUUUGAGUGUGGUGACACACGUCAUAUUGUGAGGGGUGCACCUAUAUAGACUUCUCAGCCACAGCAUGCCCCACAGAGUUCUCAGGCUAUGGUUACAACUCCAGUUACUACCCCACCUGCUCAGCCAGCUAGAGGUGGGGGUCAGGGAGGUAGAGGUCGCCCUAGAGGGGGAGACCAGGCCAGAUAUUAUGCCCUUGCUGCCCGUACUAAGGUUGUUGCCUCCGAUUCUGUCAUCACAGGUAUUAUACUGGUUUGUCACAGAGAUGCAUUGGUUCUAUUCGAUCCAGGCUCCACUUAUUCUUAUGUGUCUUCUUAUUUUGCUCCGUAUUUGGGUGUAUCUCGGGAUUCUUUGAGUUCCCUUUUUUAUGUUUCUACUCCUGUGGGAGAUUCUCUUAUUGUGGACCGCGUUUAUCGGUCGUAUUUAGUUGCUCUUAGUGGUUUUGAGACCAGAGCCAAUUUAUUGUUGCUCGGCAUGGUAGAUUUUGACAUUAUCUUGGGCAUGGACUGGUUGUCGCCCCAUUAUGCUAUUCUUGAUUGUUAUGCCAAGACCAUCAGGUAUAUCGUGUAUUGAGUGGAGGGGUACUUUAGAUUACACUCCUAGUAGAGUUAUUUCUUUUCUUAAAGCUCAGUGUAUGGUUGAGAAUGGGUGUGAUGCGUAUUUAGCUUAUGUGAGAGAUGUCAAUAUUAAUACCCCUUUAGUUGAUUCAGUUCCAGUAGUACGGGAUUUUCCCGAUGUGUUUCCAGCUGACCUUCCGGGCAUGUCGCCUGAUAGAGAUAUUGAUUUUGUCAUUGAUCUGUUGCCGGGCACUCAGUCCAUUUCUAUUCCUCUGUAUCGUAUGGCUCCUCCUGAGUUGAAGGAGUUAAAGGAUCAGUUAAAAGAAUUGCUUGGUAUUGGUUUUAUUCAGCCUAGUGUAUCACCUUGGGAGUGCUCCUAUCUUGUUUGUGAAGAAAAAGGAUGGUUCUAUGUGUAUGUGUAUUGAUUAUCGCCAGUUGAACAAGGUUACAAUGAAGAACCAUUAUCAUUUGCCUCGUAUUGAUGAUUUGUUUGAAUAGCUUUAGGGCGCACGAGUGUUUUCUAAGAUUGAUUUGCGCUCAGGUUACCGUCAGUUGAAGAUUCGGGAGCCAGAUAUCCUGAAGAUUGCUUUUAGCACUCGGUAUGGUCAUUACGAUUUCCUUGUUAUGUCAUUUGGGCUGACCAAUGCCUCAACAGCCUUUAUGCAUUUUAUGCAUAGUGUGUUCUGACCAUAUCUUGACUCGUUCGUCAUUGUCUUUAUUGAUGAUAUUCUGGUGUAUUCUCGGAGUCAGGAAGAUCAUGAACAGCACUUGAGGAAUGUGCUUCAGACUCUAAGAGAGAAGAAGUUAUAUGCUAAGUUCUUGAAAUGUGAGUUUUGGUUGGAUUCAAUGGCAUUCUUAGGCCACAUGUUAUUGAGUGAGGGUAUUCAGAUGGAUCCGAAGAAGAUAGAGGUCGUGCAGAGUUGGCCCAGACCAUCCUCAGCUACCGAGAUCCACAGUUUCCUUGGUUUGGCGGGAUACUAUCGUCGUUUUGCGAAGGGGUUUUUAUCGAUUGCAGCCCCUAUGACUAGGUUGAUCCAGAAGGGUGCUCCGUUCCAGUGGACAGAGGAGUGUGAGGAGGGCUUUCAGAAGCUCAAGACAGCUUUGAGUACAGCCCCAGUUUUGAUAUUGCCUACAGGUUUGGGGUCUUAUACGGUUUAUUGUAAUGCCUCGUAGGUUGGCCUCGGAGCGGUGUUGAUGCAGGACGGUAGGGUAAUUGCCUACGCAUCCAGACAGUUGAAGAUACAUGAGAAGAACUACCCCCUUCAUAACUUUGAGUUAGCUGCCAUUGUUCAUGCCCUGAAGAUUUGGCGCCAUUAGUUAUACGGUGUGCCUUGUGAGAUUUAUACUGACCAUCAGAGCUUGCAGCAUGUGUUCAAGCAAAAGGAUCUAAAUUUGCACUAGAGGAGGUGGUUAAAGUUGUUGAAGGACUAUGACAUCACUAUUUUGUAUCACCAGGCAAGGCCAAUGUGGUGGCCAAUGCUUUGAGUCAUCGGGCAGAGAGUUUGGGGAGUUUGGCUUAUUUACCAGCACCGAAGAGGCCUAUGGCAAUGGAUAUUCAGGCCUUAGCCAACCAGUUUGUGAGAUUGGAUCUUUCAGAGCCCAGUCGUGUUCUAGCUUGCGUGGUUUCUCGAUCUUACUUAUUUGAUCGUAUCAGGGAGCGGUAGUAUGAUGACCCUCAUUUUCUUGCCCUCAAGGACAAGGUUCAGUAAGGUGAUGCCAAAGAUGUGACUAUUGGUGAUGAUGGGGUAUUGAGGAUACAGGGUCGGAUUUGUGUACCCAAUGUUGAUGGGCUUCGAGAGUUGAUUCUAGAGGAGGCCCAUAGUUCAUGGUAUUCCAUCCAUCUGGGUGCCAUGAAGAUGUAUCAGGAUUUGAGGCAGCACUACUAGUGCAGGCGGAUGAAGAAGGAUAUAGUUGGAUUAGUAGCUCGGUGCCUCAACUGUCAGCAGGUGAAGUAUGAGCACCAGAGACCAGGUGGGUUGCUUUAGCAAAUAGAGAUUCCAGAAUGGAAGUGGGAGCAGAUCACCAUGACUUUGUAGUUGGGCUCCCAUAGACUUUGAGAAAGUUCAAUGCUAUUUGGGUGAUUGUGGAUCGGCUAACCAAGUCCACUCACUUUAUUCCUGUGUGUAUUACUUAUUCCUCGGAGCGGUUCGCGGAGAUUUAUAUCCGGGAUAUUGUUCGUCUGCAUGGUAUUCCAGUGUCCAUCAUUUCAGAUAGAGGUACUCAAUUCACAUCACGGUUCUGGAGGGUCGUUCAGCAUGAGUUGGGUACUCAGGUGGAGUUGAGUACAACAUUUCACCCUCAUACGGACGGACAGUCCGAGCGCACUAUUCAGAUUCUUUAGGAUAUUCUCUGUGCGUGUGUGAUUGAGUUUAGAGGGUCUUGGGAUCAGUUCUUGCCAUUAGUAGAGUUUGCUUAUAACAAUAGCUAUCAGUCCAGUAUUCAGAUGGCACCGUAUGAGGCUUUAUAUGGGAGACGGUGUAGAUCCCCAGUGGGUUGGUUUGAGCCAGGUGAGGCCAGAUUAUUGGGCACAGACUUAGUUCAGGAUGCUUUGGAGAAGGCUAAGGUGAUUCAGGAUAGACUCCGCAUAGCCAAGUCCAGACAGAAGAGUUACGCGGACCGGAAGGUUCGUGAUGUUUCCUAUAUGGUUGGAGAGUGGGUUCUACUUUGGGUUUCGCCUAUGAAAGGUAUCAUGAGAUUCAGGAAGAAAGGAAAGUUGAGUCCGAGAUUUAUUGGCCCUUUUGAGAUAUUGAGGCAUGUUGGGGAGGUUGCUUAUGAGCUUGCCUUACCUCCCAGCUUGGCAGGAGUUCAUUCAGUAUUCCAUGUUUUGAUGCUCCGGAGGUAUCACGGUGAUCCGUCGCACGUGUUGGAUUUCAGUUCAGUCCCGUUGGACAAGGAUCUAUCUUAUGUUGAGGAGCCAGUGGCAAUAUUGGACAGGCAGGUUAAAAAGCUAAGGUCAAAGAACAUUGCAUCGAUAAAGGUUCAUUGGCGGGGCUAGCCGGUCGAGGACGCGACCUGGGAGACCGAGCAGGAUAUGCGCAACCGUUACCCUCAUCUUUUCACUACUUUAGGCAUGUUUUUAUGCUCAUUCGAGGACGAACGAAUGUUUAAGGUAGGAGGAAGUGAAGACCCGACUGGUUGUCUUAAGAAUUAACGCCUUAAUCCCUUAUUAACUGCUUUCCCCCAAGUUUAUUUCUGCUAUUUUGAUUUGCCGGGAUGUUCGGUUUUGAGUUUUGGAGAGUUUUGGGACACUUAGUCCUUAAAUGAGAGCUUAAGUGUUGAAAAGUUGGUUGUAGUUGGAAUAGUGUGAAGAUGGCCUUGGAAUGAAAAUCUGAUGGUUCCGUUAGCUCCGUUAGGUGAUUUCAGGCUUAGGGGGCGUGUUUGGAUUGUAUUUUGCAGGUCCGUAGCUAAUUUAGGCUUGAAAUGCCGAAAGUUGAAUUUUUGAAGUUUCCGGUCCAAUAGUGAGAUUUUGAUCAGAGGGUCGGAAUGGAAUUCCGGAAGUUGGAGAAACUCCAUAGUGUUGAAUGUGAUGUGUGUGCAAAAUUUCAGGUCUUUCGGACGAGGUUUGAUAGACUUUUUGAUCAAAAGCGUAUUUUGAGAAUUUUGGAGUUCAUAGUCUUAAAUCCAUGGUUAAUUUGAGGUUUCGAUGUUAUUUUAGGUGUUUUAAGUAUUGGUACAAGUUUAGAUAGUGGGUUGUGACUUGUUGAUGCCUUUGGUUGAGGUCCCGGAGGCCUCGAGAUGAAUUCGAAUGGUUGAUAGAAAGAUUUUGGAGUUAGAGUUGCAGCUUCAGCUGCUAGUUCUGUCAUAACCGCACCUGCAGUUUGGGUUCCGCAGGUGCGGCGCCGCAGAAGCGGCUCAGUGGCCGCAGAAGCAGAAUUUGGUCAUUCCUUCAAGAACCGCAGUAGCUGUGGUAAUACCGCAGAAGCGGUACCACAUUUGCGGAUUGGGAGUAGCAGAUGCGAAAGCUGGCACUUUAAUGAAAAGUCAUAGAUGUGACCUUGUCUCCGCAGAAGCGGGACCGCAGUUGUGAGUGCGUACUUGUGCUAAUUGUUGGAAAUCCGGUUUUCUUUAAGAAAUUACUAAUAUGUUUCCUUUCCUGUUUCUAUUACUUGCAAUAUUAAGCAUGUUGUUAACUUAGAAAAACAUGUCUAAGUGACUUAAUUGCUUUAUUUGCUCAACCUGCCUUACCUGAAUUCUGUGCAGCAUGCUAGGCUAGAAUCACUUGUUGCCUUAAUAUGAAGUUUUGUCAUUUCUGUAUAUUUUCCUGUUGCUGAUGCGUAUAUAUUUUGGGACUACAAAUGUGGGAUUCUGAUAGCUCCCCCCUUGUCUGUUUAUUUUGGGACUACGGAUGUGGGAUUCCGGUAUAUCCCCCUAUACAGUUAUAUGGAACUAUGAGAAUUCACCCGGUAGAUUCCCCCGGUACUAGGUAUUUAUAUUUGGGAAUAUGGAAUGGGAUUCUGAUAGAUCCCCACGCACUAUUAGUUGGACUACGGGACGGGAUCCCGAGAUAUCCUUUAGAUAUGUACAUAUGGGGGACUAUAUGGAUGGGUAUCCUGGGGGAGGAUUCCCCGGAUUGNNNNNNNNNNNNNNNNNNNNNNNNNUGUAUAUGCCGAGCGACAUUAUAACUAUUGUUUCCAUUCAGUUAUUUUGGUUUUUGAUUAUUUCUUCCGCAAGUUUCCUUUAUGUUCCGCAUUUGUUAGGCUUACCUAAUCGUAGAGACUAGGUGCCUUCACGAUGGUUCAGGGAGGAAGAACUGGGGUCGUGACAGUGUACUACUACAUAAUGAUGCCAUUCGGUCUGAAGAAUGUUGGGGCCACCAAUAUAAGGACCAUGAAGACCAUCUUCCAUGAUAUGAUACAUAAAGAAAUAGAGGUAUAUGUUAAUGAUGUCAUCACCAAAUCCAAGAUGGCCACAAAUCACAUAGUAGACUUGAGGAAGUUCUUUGACAUGCUAUGGAAGUACAAUUUAAAGCUGAACCCCGCAAAAUGUGCAUUCGGGGUUCCUGUAGGAAAACUAUUGGGAUUCAUCAUCAGCCGCCCAGGAAUCGAGUUGGACCCAUCAAAAGUUAAAGUUAUCCAAGAGUUACCACCACCAAAGUGCAAGAAGGACGUGAUGAGCUUCCUGGGAUGCCUCAAUUACAUCAGCCGCUUCAUAGCACAGUCCACAGUAAUAUGUGAACCCAUCUUCAAAAUGUUGAAGAAGGAUGCUGAAACCAGUUAGACUGAAGAUUGUCAAAGGGCUUUUGACAAAAUCAAGGAAUACCUAUCCACACCGCUAGUCCUAGUACCCUCGGAACCUGGGAGACCUUUGCUACUCUAUUUGUCUGUACUAGAUGGGGCUUUCGGUUAUGUUUUAGGAUAAUAACAUGACGAGACAUGAAAAAAGGAGCAAGCCAUAUAUUACUUGAGUAAGAAGUUCACACCUUAUGAAGCAUGGUACUCUCUGCUAGAACACAUUUGAUGUGCUUUGACAUGGGCAGCUCGGAAAUUGAGGCAUUAUUUUUGUGCCUAUAAUACAUACCUCAUAUCAAGGAUGGAUCCUCUUAAGUACAUCUUUCAGAAUCCUAUGCCUACUGGGAAGUUGGCCAAGUGGCAAAUAUUGCUGAGUGAGUUCGAUAUCAUCUAUGUAACUCAGAAGGCCGUCAAAAGACAAGCGUUGGUAGACCUUCUUGCUGAAAAUCCUGUAGGAGGAGAAUAUGAAUCACUCAAAACAUAUUUUCCUGAUGAAAAAGUGUCAUUCAUAGGAGAGGAAAUUGUUGGAGCCUACGACGGUUGGAGAAUGUUUUUCGACGAAGCUGCAAACUUCAAAGGAGUGGGUAUUGGAGCAUUCUUGGUGUUAGAUACACUUCAACAUUAUCUAAUAUCCGCAAAACAUAGGUUUCCAUGCACCAACAAUAUGCCAGAAUACGAGGCUUGCAUCAUGGGACUCAAUUUGGCAAUCGAUAUGAAUAUAUAAGAGUUGCUGGUAAUUGGUAAUUUGGAUCUUCUGGUACAUCAAGUUCAAGGAGAAUGGGCUAUGAAAAACACUAAGAUACUACAAUACUUGUACCAUGUGCAAACUGAUAAAGAGAUUCACAAAAAUAGAAUUCAAACAUAUUCCGAGAAUCUAGAAAGAGUUUGCAGAUGCACUAGCUACUCCGUCUUCUAUGAUACAACAUCCGGACAAGAAUUUAAUCGAUCCCAUCCCAGUUAGGAUCCACAGUCAGCCAGCUUAUUAUGCUCAUGUUGAAGAAUAAAUGGAUGGAAAUCCAUGGUUCCACGACAUCAAGGAAUACUUGGCGAAAGGAGACUACCCAGAGCAUGCGAAUCAUACUCAGAAAUGCACACUACGUAGGUUGUCCAAUCAUUUCUUCCAAAACGGAGAAAUUCUGUAUAUGAGAACACUUGAUCUGGGACUAUUAAGGUGUGUUGAUGCCAAAAGAGCUUCCAAAUUGCUCGAGGAAAUACAUGUUGGGACCUGCGGCUCACAUAUGAACGGUUUUGUUCUAGACAAGAAAAUACUUAGGGCCAAAUACUUUCGGAUGACUAUGAAAACAAAUUGUAUCUGGUACGUCAAGAAAUGCCACCAAUGCCAGAUACAUGCAGAUAUGAUACAAGUGACAUCAAACGAACUUAAUACAACAAGUGCACCUUGGUCGUUUGCUGCCUGGGGAAUAGAUUUCAAUUUUCCAAUCGAACCCACUACUUCAAACAGGCACAGGUUCAUUUUAGUGGCCAUCGAUUACUUCACAAAAUGGGUAGAGGUUGCAUCUUACAAAGCUGUAACCAGGAAAGACGUCGCAGAUUUUGUCAAGGAUCAUAUUGUUUGUCGAUUCAGUUACCGAGUCCAUCAUCAUAGACAAUGCCGCCAAUCUCAACAGUGAUCUAAUAAAAACCAUGUGUGAAUCUUUCAAAAUCAAGCAAAAAAAUUCUACAGCAUACAGGCCUCAAAUGAACGGAGCUGUAGAAGCUUCCAACAAGAACAUCAAGAAGAUGCUAAGGAAAAUGGUAGAAAAUAACAAGAAAUGGUACGAGAAGUUACCAUUCGCCUUAUUGGGAUACCGUACCACAGUCCGCACAUCAACUAAGGCAACUCCCUAUUUGCUGGUUUACGGUACCAAAGUUGUCAUUCCCGCCGAGAUAGAAAUUCCUUCUUUAAGGAUCACACAAGAAGCCAAACUCAGUGAUGUGGAAUGGAUAAAGAGUCACUAUGAGCAAUUAGACCUCAUAGAUGGAAAAAGGAUGAAUGCAGUGUGUCAUGGUCAGCUUUAUCAUAACAUAAUGUAUAGAGCUUUCAACAAAAGGGUCAAACCAAGAUAAUUCAUACAGGGGCAGCUGGUGUUGAGCGAAUCUUCCCACAUCAAUAUGAAGCCAAAGGAAAAUUUUCACCUAAUUGGCAAGGGCCCUUCAUGGUUCACAGGGUACUAAUAGGAGGAGCACUCAUACUUGCAGAAAUGGACGAAGAAGUUUGGCCAAAACCUAUCAAUUCAGACGCAGUCAAGAGAUACUAUGUUUAGAUUGUUUACAUUUCUUCAUCUGAUGUAACUGAACUAUGCUUGACGUAAUUCCUGUUUAAGAGGAGAUACAUAGGCAGCACUGUAGGUUCGGUCACAUCUUAAUAAAAUCUUCAUUUUUCCCAGAACCAAAAAUUGGAGCAGAAUUUUGAGGGGGACCCUCAAAAUUCGGAGCAAGUCUAGCCGAUAUCAUCAUAUGUAAGACAAACAGAAAAUCGGUAGAGUAACUGGGGUAAAAUAUUGAGAAGGAUUCUCAAAAUUCCAGAGUAGAUCCAACAAAUUUCGUUACAUGCAGAACGACUGAAUAAUCAAUUACUAAAUUGGGGCAGAAUUUUGAGGAGGACCCUCAAAAUUCUAACGCAAAGAAAGCCGCAAUGUCUCUAAAAGUGUCGCAGUCAUUAGUUUAUCUAAUUUACUAGAUAUUAUAUACCACUAUGUUUUCUAAAAUGACUCUAUUUCAUAAAAUAAGCGCAUAUUUUUAGAAAACUUUAUUUCUAUUGCAGCCAGGUGUUACCCAUGGUAAUUCAAACAGGAUCUCCAAAGCAAAGCAAAGCAAAACAAGCAGACAAAGGCAUGAACCAACCUUCCCCGCAAAACUCAAGAUUUUUCUUUGAAUGCAAGGACAAGGAAUAACCGCAAGUACGUGUGCCUUAAAAUCAUUGCCUUCAUAACAACCAGACCGCCAAGCGCAAUAUAUCUCAAGCUAAGAAACAUUUUGCUCCUAUUUGCGAUUUGUCCAUUGCAUGAGACAAAGCAUGGUCAUAAAAUCUUACAUGAGGCUAAGCCCUGCCUCCCUGUUUGCAUAACGCUAAGCAUUGCCUUCUCUUAGCAUGAGACUAAGCUCUGUCUCAAAUCUUGCAUGAGGCUAAGCCCUGCCUACCUAUUUGCGUAAGCCUAAGCAUUGCCUUCCAUGGCAUAAGACUAAGCCCUGUCUCAAAUCUUGCAUGAGGCUAAGCCCUCCUCCCUAUUUGCACAAGGAUAAGUAUUGCCUUCUCUUUGCAUGAGACUAAACCCUAUCUCAAAUCUUGCAUGAGGCUAAGUCCUGCCUCUCUAUUUGCAUAAGUCUAAGAAUUGCCUUCUCUUUGCAUGAGACUAAGCCCUGUCUNNNNNNNNNNNNNNNNNNNNNNNNNNNNNNNNNNNNNNNNNNNNNNNNNNNNNNNNNNNNNNNNNNNNNNNNNNNNNNNNNNNNNNNNNNNNNNNNNNNNNNNNNNNNNNNNNNNNNNNNNNNNNNNNNNNNNNNNNNNNNNNNNNNNNNNNNNNNNNNNNNNNNNNNNNNNNNNNNNNNNNNNNNNNNNNNNNNNNNNNNNNNNNNNNNNNNNNNNNNNNNNNNNNNNNNNNNNNNNNNNNNNNNNNNNNNNNNNNNNNNNNNNNNNNNNNNNNNNNNNNNNNNNNNNNNNNNNNNNNNNNNNNNNNNNNNNNNNNNNNNNNNNNNNNNNNNNNNCAUAAGGCUAAGUGUUGCCAUCUCUUUGCAUGAGACUAAGCCAUGUCUCAAAUCUUGCAUGAGGCUAAGCAUUGCCUUCUCUUUGCAUGAGACUAAGCCAUUUCUCAAAUCUUGUAUAAGGCUCAGCCCUACCUCUAUAUUCGCAUAAGUAUAAGUGUUGCCUUCUCUUUGUAUGAGGUUCAGCCCUGCCUCUUUAUUUACAUAAGGCUAAGCAUUGCCUUCUCUUUGCAUAAGAUUAAGCCUUGUCUCAAAUCUUGCAUGAGGCUAAGCCAUGCCUCCCUAUUUGCAUAUGGCUAAGCAUUGUCUUCUCUUUGCAUGAGGCUAAUCCCUGCCUCCCAAUUGCAUAAGGCUAAGAUCUGCCCUUCUUUGUCUGAUGAUCAGACGUUACCCUAUUUGAAACUUAGUACCAUCUUCCCUUUUUAGAGCUAAGCUUGUUCCCGAUCUUAUACAAGACUAAGCUCUGUCAUUUUUUUGCUCAUAUGCAUCACCAUAUCUCUGUCCGAAGGCGUCAUAGUCCAAAGGCAUAAUCCCUAUAGCCUGAAGACAUCGUGUCAUGGCCUGAGGAUCUCUUAAUAUCGCACAUCAUUAUUCAAAGGCAUCAUGACUCGGAGGCACCAUUCUCAUGGCCCGAGAACAUCAUCUCAUGGCCUACGAAUCCUUUAUAUCAUGAUUCAUGGCCCAGGACGUCAUGGUCUAACGAUGUCAUCCCCAAUAUCCAAAGACAAACUUCAUGGUCCAAAUAAAAUUUGCAUCAUGUUUAAAUUCUCGCAAUAAUCCAUAUAUAUUUGCACGCAUCGUGUUUUAUGUUUUGCAGGUAAUUUAGAAGUUAACCGUUCUUCAAACAAGAGUAACCUUCGCUCCGGUUUCUGCUCAUACCAUUCAUAUCCGGUCAUUAUUUUCGGAUGUAACCGAAUCCCCAUCAAUUACUCACCUUUACUCUAUGAUUGUUCAGAUAUCUGCUAUGUGAUACAUCUGUUACGCUUCAUAUUUACAUUCAUAACUUUGCAUAAACUCAUCUGAUACUAUCCUUCCCAAAAGAACCCUUUCCAAAACAGACGACUAUUCCUAUAACACUUCCAUCGAUUUUAUUCAUCGUUGGGUCCAUAACUACACACGGCCUGAUUCUUGUAAAAUCAGGGAUAUGUUGGAAACUCAGAGACCAGGGUGCGGCCUAUAUUUUUCAAAACACCCCACUCGGUCAAAAUCGACCAUCAUUUCUUUACCCGACAACUCUUUCAUCCUUCCUAGGUAAAGAGGGCCAGCUGUUGAUAUCCAAUUUUCCCUCACAUAUUUCAAAUAUACAUAUAUACCUUCAAAAUAGUGCAUGAGCAUCACCAAUUAUUUUUUUAUAAUUUUCAAAGGCUUCUAAUUAAUUUAUUCCUGCAUUUUUUAUAUAAAUAAUUAUUAAUUGCGUCAAAAAUAAUUUUAUAAUAAUUUAUUAUCUAAUUUUUCAUCAUUAUAUCCAUAUUAAGCUUUAAAUAUUUUUAUAUUUAUUUAUUUUUGCAUCCUUAGGCUAAAAUUACAUAUUUUACAAUAAUAGCCCAUAUAUAUGCAUAAUUACAUUAUUUACAUAUAAAUGAAUUUUAAUAUUUUUGUAAUGUUAAGUAAUUAUUUUAAAUAAUUUUCAUGCAUAAUUCAUAUUUUUGUUAUUUAUUAAUUAUUUUUUAUAAAUUAUUUUUUGAUUUAAUUGUGUAUUUAAAAUCUAGCCUUUUUUCUUAAUUAAUUUCGGACCUAUACACUACCAAUUACCCAGCCUAAUACCCAUAAACCCAAACCCAUAUCCGUUUAAAAACUGACCCAAUUCCUUUUAAAAUCACAUCUGUUGAUCUCUGAAGAUCAACGGCUCACAGCACCCUCACCCCUUUAAUCAUACCCAUCCGCCUAAACCCUGAAUCACUUUACCCCAACCCGUCAUCUCUAUACAAUCCCUCUCCUUCAUCUUCUUCCUCUCAAAACCCUAGCGUCGUCACUUGUUGCCCCCUCCAAUUCCUACCCAAAAUGGAAUCAAUCAAUGAUUCCCUUACCUUAUUGAGCCUUUCUCGCUACUGGCUACUCAUUUAUGGUGUUACAUAAUUGCUUGCCUAACAUGGCAAGCAGAUCAUUGUGAACCAAAUCUGGUUCAGAUCUUUGCUUCUUUCCAUCUAUGUUCCUUAGCUUUCCUAUGUGAGUGUGAAUAUUUUCAUAUCUUCCGUUGAUUUGUACCUAACCUAAAGUUAGGGUUUUCAAACCUUUGAUUCGAACCAGAUGGUUCAGCUUUAGUUUGUUUUAAUGUUGUUUUUCUUCUAUAUUCACUUUGUUACUCAUAAAUCUGCCUAUUUUCCGUUAAAUCUUUUACUUACCUAAACUAGGGUUUUAACCUUCUUUAAUCGAACCAGAUUUGGUUCAAGUCUUAUGUAUUCGUUAAUAACUCUCUAUCUAUGUUCUUUUAUUAAAACAAAUGAUCCUUUGCCUUUAUUGCUCUAUCAUUUUGUGUUUACUUAAAAUUAGGGGGGUUUUUUCAAAUCUUAAUUGAUUCUAUUAUCUUUUAAAACUCCUGUCUAGGUUCAUUAUGUGAUAUUGUGUUGAUUGUAUGGUUUGCCUUUUGAAUAUUCUCUUGUCUACCUUAUUUUACUCCACUGAUUUUAUGGUUUACCCAAAAAUUAGGGUUUUGAAAUUUUUUACUGAGAUUUUAAUCUUUUCUUUCUUUUAUGGUACUGAUGCUUCCUUAUUUUGCUCGACUUACCCUUUUCCCAUUAUUUCCUUACCUUAGUUGAUCCGACAUUUGACUGUUGAUUGAUUCUGUAUAAUACCUACCUUAGUCUAAGUAGUACUUGCCUGAUUACACGCUGUCAUGUCCUGCUAAUUGAUUGAACUCGACUUCAAAUAGAUUCUAGAAUUAUUUUCAUUCCUUAUUUGUGUACGUUUGAUUUAUUCCCUUAUUUGUCUGCCUAAUUGAGUACUAUUUAAAUCCUUUCUCCUUUUUCCCUUUUGGGGAUAGACACGAACUCUCAUACUCUCACUAAAAACUUAAGCUCUCUUAUUCUGAUUCUGUGCUAAUUAACUCUGGUUUUGGCCAGUUGAAAGCCAAGGCCAAGUUAUUCUGAAACUUAACUGUUGUGGCAUAUUUACUUGAAUUCUUACUUAACUGGUAUGCCCUAAUCCUUUGUAAUUUCAUUAUCUAUGCUUUGCUCGACUAUCAUGUUUUAAUUCCAAGUAUGAUUCUGUCAUUUUUAUGUGAUUCUAUGAUCUCAUUUAGUCCUAUGAGUGACAUUGUUAACUUAGGAUUAAGCUAUUUUAAAUAACACGAAUCCUCUUAUAAGUUAGCCUAAUGUCUAAAAUUGUUCCAUGCACUAUUUGUUAAUCUUACACUUAUUCUGAACUUAGUAUCCCUAUAAUACUAUUAGCAUGAAAUUGGUUCAUUAAUCCUAACUUUACAGAUUUUCGUAUGGUUACUUAAUUCAUGGGUCUGGCCAACUUAACUAUUUUGCCUAAUUGCUUCUGUGAUUAAACAAUGAUUGUGCUAGGUACUAGCAUGAAUAUAUAGCUUAACCAGACUUUUAACUUACUUGAACUAUGUGAUUGAGCAUAACCUUGUUUGGUGCAGUUCUGUUUGCAACUCUGUGUUCUAAAUAUUGUUUCUUCUGAAAUCAAACUAUUUUAAAACCUGCCUCUACCUCUUUUUUAUGUACUGAUUUUGAAUGCCCCACUUUUAUUCCCUUAGGUUCUUAACCACUCCAGUGUGAGCAUUGUUCAGGGUCUACAUGAGACUCAUGUAAACUCGGACACAUUGGAGACUGGUUUUCCAAUCUCUUAUGAGCUAUCUUCUGAAUGUAUGGUUCUGGUGUGAGCAUUUUCCUGGGUCCCUGAGGCCCUUGGGAACUUUGACAUACUAGAAACCUGGUUCUAAUGUGCUAUAGAUGGAUCACUAUGUUGUGCCUCAAAGUUGUUAUGGUUGGAAGGCUUAGUUCCUAGGUUUAUUUGGGACUAAUGAAGGCUCCCUAUAGUGUCUCAUUACUAUUAUGUAAUUCAUUUGCUAUUAUGGUCUGUAAUAACGGAUUUGGGGAUAUCUAGUAAAGCUGGGGGGGUUUUCUUACUUCCUUUUGCUAAACUGGGUAGAAAUCAUGUCUAUAGGAUUUAGUUAUGUUGUCAAUUAUGUUCAUUUGGUAAAAACUGUAUGAGUUCUAUAUUGUGCUUAGAAAUCCUGCCUAUAGGAUUUUCAUUGAUGGUGUUAAUUAUGUGUUUGCAUAUUAGAAGUCCUGCCUAUAGGGUUGGCAUUAAAAUGUACAUUAGAAAUCCUGCUCAUAGGAUCUAUCAAUCCAACAAAUGUGCAUUAGCAAUCAUGCUUAUAGGACCUCGAUGUUUGAUUUGAUCGAUUUUCUGGUAAUCUGCAUAAUUUUUUACCGUAUUACUGCUCAAUAGAUACCAUACCUAUUGGACUAAAAUUGGUUUCGAAUCUAGAAAUCAUGCCUAUAGGAUUUAAAUCAAUUUAGAAGUAGAUACCAUUCCUAUAGGGAAAAAACCUAGUUUCAAACCUAGAGACCAUGCCUAUAGGAUUAAAACCAGAUUCAAAUCCUAGAUAUCAUGCCUAUAGGAUUUAAAUCAGUUUGAUAUUAGAAGCAUGCCUAUAGGAUUCUAUCAAUUUGUUCUGUCAUCACUUAGACAAUAUGCCUAUAGGACUUAAUAACAAUUUUAGAUCUGUAAAUGUGAUUCAUUAUGGUUUGAAGUGCCCAUAUGAUAUUCAUUAAAUUCAGUAGGCAAAUAGUAGGUCCUAGUACCCGCCUUAAUGAAGCUACUUCUAUAUAACACUGCUCGCCUAUUUUCUCACAUAGAUAUCAUGUCUAUAGGAUUCUGCAGAUUAACAAAACCUGCUAACUAAUUGUGUGCAUUUGUUGUUUAUGUGCGGAGGUCAACAUGAGCCCAUAUUUUCUUUAUACUUGCAAGUCCUAACAUGUUUUGUUUGUCGCCUAGUCCUUUUACAUUUUUGAGAAACCUAGUUUAGUCUAGAACUAUCCCAAAUAGAGUUCCUAAUACCUCCAAGUCCAUAGGUAAGGGACGAAUAGUGAACGCAUAGGAAUCGGACUAGAAUCAAUUAGAGCGCUUUAGGUAACAACUUAAAGAUAGUAAUCCGGUAGCAGGAGAUGAUAGUCUAUGCCCGUUGAAUAAUAUGAGUAACACCCCAACUUGAGGGAGUUACGAAGUAUUAUUUAUGUUGCACGGGGUGAUCCUUUAGGCUAAAACAUUUAGGACCCCAUCCCUAUUAAAUCUUUAUCUUGCUUCUAUAUUAGACUAAUUCAUAAGUUAAGUUCGGUCGAUACCCACCUUUGUGGACCUCGAAGGGUGUCUAAAACCUUCCCCUCAAGGUACUUUCGAGCCCUUACUCGAUCUCUGGUGAUGUAAAUUGGUAACAUGAGUUCUCUGCUCUAGGUGACCUAACGCACCUUAAUCUGUUAGGUGGUGACUCUUUUAAUUCCAAUUCCCUACCCUUUCAAAAGGAGUUGUCCCAGAAAUGUCGAAACCCGAUUUUGCAAGAAAAAGGGGGCGUGGCAUGAGUUUUACUAGUGAAAACCCUCACGAGCACUAUAAGGCGAUGGUAAGUAGAUAUAAAUAAAUAAGAGUGACUUAUAGAUGAAAAUCCCUCGGGGCACCACUAGUUGAAGAUGAGUCGUGAAUCUGGUACAAAUAUUUGGCACAUAUAUGCUCAGUUUGAAAGCUCGAAGGAAUGACAAGAGUUAAGGUUAGAUUGAUUUGAAAGAUAAGGUCGCUAAGUCUAAAAUGCAUGUCAUGUUCAUUAAUGCUAGCUGCCCUAAAAAAAUAUCUUCCUUCUUUCCUUCCCGAUAGGGGCAUUUCCUGUUAAUAUUUUUUCUUCGCAUCAUUAUGUCCUUUGCUCUGAGUUCAUCCUUGUCAAAACAAGCAAGAAAACAUUUCAAAAUCUGCUACUAGCUUUUCAGUUGCACCAAGUAAAUUUGGUCAGCACACUCAGUUGUUAUUGUCAACAUGCCUUGAGGAUUCAUACAAAGGCUCCCCCACAAAAGACUCUUGUCAGCCUACUUGGCGCAAGCAAAGAUAACCUCAAGGUUAAUCAUGUAUCCUCUGUAGUAAUGAACAGAGAGUAUGAAGUGUGCACAUCAUGCAAAAGGCACAUACCCAGUUGCGACUCUCUUUGAUAAACAAAUUGCUCAAAAAGCAAAAAGUCAUUCAAGAUAUCAGAAAAGGUCACCUAAGCAAAGAUCUUUAGCUGGGAUAAGGCUGAUUGAGCCACAAAUACAAAUGGCACUGGGAAUGAAAUAAUCAGGGUUGAUACAGAAAGUAAAGGUUCCUUAAAAGCAACAAUAGAGUCUUCCAGCAGUGCAACCAACUACCAAUACAGUCGGUCUUCCAAAGGCUGGAUGAUCACAAAGCCAAGCUGCCCAAGACUCAAGGCCACAAACCGAUCACCAGUUUCAAAACUGACAAGUUUUCUUUGUUUGAAACAGGAACAAAGCAAUACAAGGAAAGUGGUUCUAAAAAAAAGAAAAAGAAGAGAAGAGAAGAGUUGACAAAGGGAAGUUUCUCAAAUCUUUGCUUUUAUUUGUUUUGCUAGUGUGCAUAAAAUCUUCUCAUUGUUCCUCACAUUUUCCUCCUAGGGUAAUACAUCCUAGUCUGAUGGAUUUUCCUCCUAAUAGACGUCUUAGUCUGAUGAAUCUUUCUCCUAAGAUAAGAAAACCUAGUCUGAUGAAUCUUUCUCCUAAGAUCGAAGUCUUAGUCUGAUGAAUCUUUUUUCUAAGAUAAGAAAACCUAGUCUGAUAUUCUCCUAGGAUAGAAAUCUUAGUCUGAUGAAUCUUUCUCCUAAGAUAUGAAAUCUUAGUUUGAUGAAUCUUUCUCCUAGGAUAGAAAUCUUAGUCUGAUGAAUCUUUCUCCUAAGACAAGAGAACCUAGUUCGAUGAGUCUUUCUCCUUGGAUAGAAAUCUUAGUUUGAUGAAUCUUUCUCCUAAGAUAACAAAAAAAACCUAGUCUGAUGAAUUUUCUCCUAGGAUCGAAGUUUUAGUCUGAUGACUUUUUCUCCUAAGAUAAGAAAACCUAGUCUGAUGAAUCUUUCUCCUAGGAUAGAAAUCUUAGUCUGAUGAAUCUUUCUCCUAAGAUAACAAAAAGAAACACCUAGUCUGAUGAAUUUUCUCCUAAGAUCGAAGUCUUAGUUAGAUGAUUUUUUUCCUAAGAUAAGAAAACCUAGUCUGAUGAAUUUUCUCCUUGGAUAACUAAAAAAAGCCCGAAUUUAAAAAAGGGGUCAUUUGUUCAUUCCCUCGGAAAAUAAGCAUCGGGGCAAUUUGUUUAAAAGAAUGAUUUUCUCAAAAAAAAAUGAUUUUUUUCUCAAUAAAAAAACAAAAAUCCUUCUUGGUUCGUUUUAGACAUAGGGUCUCCACUCCCUAGUCUCAUUUUCCAACAUAGGGCCUCCAUUUCCUAGUUAAAAUUAUUUUAGAUAUAGGGUCUCCACUCCCUAGUCGCUUUUCCAAUAUAGGGUCUCCACGCCCUAGUUGAAGUUUAUUUUAGACAUAGGGUCUCCACUCCGUAGUCGCUUUUCCAAUAUAGGGUCUCCAAUCCCUAGUUGAUUUUAUUUUAGACAUAGGGUCUCCACUCCCUAGUCUCCUUUCUAACAUAGGGUCUCCAUUCCCUAGUUGACUUUACUUUUGACAUAGGGUCUCCACUCCCUAGUCGAUUUUCCAAUAGAGGGUCUACAUUCCCUAGUUGACUUUAUUUUAGACAUAAGGUUUCCACUUCUUAUUCGCUUUUUCCAACAUAUGGUCUCCAAUCCCUAGUUGACUUUAUUUUAGACAUAGGGUAUUCACUCCUUAGUCGCCUUUCCAACAUAGAGUCUCCAAUCCCUAAUUGACUUUAUUUUAGACAUAGGGUCUCCACUCCCUAGCCGCCUUUCCAAUAUAGGAUCUCCAACCCCUAGUUGAUUUUGUUUUAGACAUAUGGUCUCCACUCCCUAGUCGCCUUUCCAACAUGGGGUCUACAAUCCCUAGUUUAGUUUAUUUUUGACAUAGGGUCUCCACUCCCUAGUCUCUUUUCCGACAUAGGGUCUCCACUCCCUAAUCGAGUUGAUCUUAAAUGAAGGAUACACUAUCCCAAUGAAUUAUGUUUUCCUAGGGUACAUCAAUCCCGAUCUUUUAUUGCUUUCAAUAAUGAAGUAGUAUAGAGUUUUGUUACAAAUAACUCACGAAAUUUUUCUAGUGAAAACUGGGGUAGAAGAAUGUCGUUCGUUCGUAUGUUUUGGUGUCUGAGCAGGUUUAUACCUCGAGGCACAGGUUUCAAGAUGACCAAAAGAAGUCUCAAUCCAAAAUAAAGAAAAUAAAAUGAAAGAAGUGAAUCCAAAGUGCAGAAGCGGAGAAAAGAUGUGGACUGCUCAAGAUAUGGUUGAAGUCACGAGCACUGCAGUCCACGUUUUCAUCAGAAGAAGCCGUAGAAGAAUGAACUAGCACCUGCAGCUAGUAGGCAUCAAGGUUUAAAUUAAAAGUCUGCAUGAAGAACCUUUGAAGACUUAAAAAGACUUAUAGAUAGCAAUCUUGUAACUCAUAGUUGAUAGGCUUGUUUAGUUCUUUUAGAUUUAGAUUUUGAUGUAGUAACGAGACCGCGGACCGGAGCCUCGAUGGAACCUCACUCGACUCUUGAACUCAUCAUUCCAUUGAUCUCUUUGAACUACACGUGGCCUUUAUAGCCAAAGAUAUACAGGCAGCUCAGAUACCAAGGCUUGGUCACAAUCUUUUUACCCAUUUUUAAUUUCUUUUGAACAAGUAUUGGGUAAGAAAUCAAUUACGUCGCUUACUUAUUUCUUUGCUCAAAAACUCUUUGAGUUUCCAACCAAAGAGGGGCAGCUAUAACACGUAAUUUUUGACCAGUGCGAUUUUUAAUGAUUAUAUUCGUAGUAUUUUUAAUGUUUAUUUGAGUUUAUAGAUAUUUUUAUCUUCAAUUUUAGUUUUAAAAUAUAAAAUUGAAAACUCAAAAAUAGUUUUAUUUUUUCUGUUUAAUUCAGGUAUUAGGUAGUUUUAGAAAGAUAAUAUUUUUAACCCAUUUUUAUUUUAGUAUGAUCCUUGAAAAUACUAAAAAAAUAUUUUCACAAUAUAAUAUUAUUUAUUUUAAUAAAUUAGAGUUAGUUUUGCAUUCUAAAGUAUAGAUUUUACAUUAUUUGUAGAAGAAAGAUUAAGAUUUUGGAUUGGAAAGGCCCAAUUUUGGAUAGCCCAUAACCCCCUUUAACCUAACUCCUCCUCCUCAUUCUAAAAGGACUUAACCUAAUUCCUAAAAGAAAAUGGCAGAAUCCCUUAAAAACGGGAACCAUCUCUUUCUAUCCAAAAACUAGACCAGCGGCCACUUUUAAUCUCCUAAGAGCAAGAGGCGCAUCAACUGGAGAGAAAGCAGAAAUCUUCUUUGUUUUCCAGCAACAAAAAUACUAUUUUCCACCAUUAAAGGAGCCUUCUUACUCAACUGAAAUCCAAUAGCUUUUCUCCAUGGAAGCUGCCUCAAACUCCAACACCAAAAUACCUCAAACUUUAGCUACAAAAUCUAUUAAACUCCCACAAAAAUCAGCGAAAAGCAGCCCCCAAAAACGCUUCUAGUUCCAGCACCACAACUCCACUUUUCUCCCUCAUUUCAGCUCCAAAACCCACCUGAAACAACUCCCAAAAAUCAGCCAAGAAUGACUUCAAAAGCUGCUAAAAAAUAGCAUCAAAUCUAGCUAAAAAACCUCCGAAAAUCAGCUCUAAAAUCGACAAAAAUGCAGCUGAAGAAUAGCUUCAACACAGUCCAAAUUCCAACCUAAACAGCGCCCUAAAAGAGUUCCGUAAAUGCAGCAAAGUCUCGAUUCUGUUUCAUCAUGUUGAACGGGGUUCAGUCGAGCUCUAAUCAUGGGUUCCGAUUGAAGUUACCGGCAAAUAUUUCGGUUAAAAUCGACAAGCUGCUGUAAUUCGAGUUUAGAUCUAUCAAUACAAAGGUCCACUCUUUUUCUUGUCUAAUAUUUCAAUUGUGAUUAUAUCUCAUGUCUUGUUUUGUUAAAGUUUUUCAUGCCUUGAAUGUGUUUGUUCUUAAUUUCGCUCUUGAUUGAUAAUUGGUCCUUUCCUGAGUUGAAGUUUAUUUAAGAUUUUCAAAUAGCCAAAUUGUUGUGAUAGGCCAAAGCAGGGAAACCUUUAAGUGGGGUUGCAAGUGUUUGAGCUCAUAAAUAAGGAGAAAUUGAUCAUUUAGUGAUAUUGUUUUUUUUUUGGUUUAUUUAUUCUUUCAUUGUAUUAGUCUCCUGGUUAAGCAUGCUUAAUAAGGUACAUAUGGAUACUAAUUAAUGUGACGUGGAGUUUGUUUGACAACUAAAAAAUAUAUUGGCUGAUUGAUUUGGCUUGAAACAAGUUAGUCGACCUUUGUUCCUUAAUAGUAAUUUGUUUCGCCAAAACAAUUACAAAUAGCUAAAUCAUAGUGUG